AUAUACCGCGGCCCAGAAUCCCUACGAAAACUAAACAACGGUUCACAACAAAAGAACACAAAUAGGGCGAUGGCCGACGUAAAUUUAGCUAGCUCUAGUGAAGUCGUCAUCGAAUCAAGAGAUUCUAUCGAAACAGGAAACGAAGCUUUCGAACCAGCUUCAAAAAAGCAGCGUAAAGAAGAAAGUAACGUUGAGAAAACUAAAAACGCAGAUGAAAGAUUAGAAACUCGACUAGGGGGCAUUUUGUGUUGUUCCGUUUGCCUGGAUCUGCCUUCGAGCGCAGUAUAUCAAUGCUCUAAUGGACAUUUGUCAUGUGUUGGUUGCUUCAACCAUCUGCUAGCAGAUGCUCGUAUGAGAGAUGAGACUGCAACAUGCCCCAACUGCCGCACAGAAAUCAGUAAAACUUUGUCCUCCAGAAAUUUGGCUGUUGAAAAAGCUGUUUCUGAGCUUCCAGCACAAUGCCGCUAUUGUUCAAAUGAAUACUCUAGAAACACUGUUGAGAAACACGAAAAAGAACUGUGUGAGGAAAGGACAACUAUGUGCAAAUUUAGUCGGAUUGGUUGUCAGUGGCGUGGUCCAUUCCACGAAGUCGUGGUUCAUGAAUCUGUCUGUGUUCACCCACACAGAAGUGGUGGUGAGCUAAUGGAAUAUCUUCUCAAUAUGGAUGGAAAUCACCAGGAAGAGAAAAAACUCUAUGGAACUUUGUUUGAUUUGCUAUCAUUCGAAAAAAUUGCAUUCAGUGACGUUCAGUUAAAACCGUAUCGAACUGACGAGUUCAUUCAUAAAUUGUACUAUGAAACCAGCCGGUUUUAUGCCUUCAGCCACCAGUGGGUAAUCAAAGCGCGCAUCAACGCAGACCAAAAGGAUCCUACUCAAUCAUCGGAACGUGGAAUAAGUUACCAGUUAAUAUUGAAAUCAAAAGCCACCAGUCCCAUCACACUUUACUUUCUCAUGCUACGUGGACCAUUUGGGGAAAUGCAAGUUCAACCCAAAAUCUAUCAUUUCGAGUUUUCCGAAUCGAAUUGUGAAAGCCCGUUGGUGGCCUUCCCACUUACAGAUUCAGCUGAAUGCAACAAGGUUCUUUCGGGCAAAGCAAUCAACUGCCGGUUGAUCAUGUUUAUGUGUCCCAAAUGAAACAGGGGUUGACCCUUAUGUUUUCUGGUGUGGCAUAUUUUGGCCAAAAAUUGAAAAUCGGAUUCGUGCGCAUCUGUUCGUCGUAGCAUAGAUACUUUAGACGGAGAAAGGGAGUGGAACCGAAAAUCUGUUGCGCUCAGGAUUUCUUGAUCUCGACAACAACCAUUUAUUAUACUUUUUGUAGUCUUUUAGCGUCUUCUGCUGAAUUUUAAAUUCUCCGGGAUCCACUCUUCCAACUCUUUACCUCAUGCGAGCAAGACCAACGUAUCUUGACGUUCUUAUUUUUAUUUUUGCGCAUUAUUAUUAUUUUGUCUAACAUUUCUUUUGCGAACACAUUUUUUCUUUUUUUUUUUUAUAAACAAAUUUUUAUAUAGCAAACGUACAUAUAAGAAAACAAAUUUAUUCGAAGAAACACAGAAAGGACGUAGAGCUGAAAUAUAGUAUGAUUUAGUGAUUUGUAACUUUGUAUUGAUUUAAUGAUCAAUUUUCUCACAGUACCACAGUAAAAAUAUCCCACCUUUUUCAGGGUUGGUUCAGCUCUCGACUGCCACCUAUAAAAGGAAAACAAAAGACAAAGAAUCAAUACAUAUGUUUUCAGGCGAUGAUUAAAGCGCAUUGCAUUGUGUUGUUUCCUUGUAGGAGAGGAAGAGAUGGAUGUGACACGUUCUGCUCUUUCGGUAAGAAAAUAUUUAUAGUAAGUUGAGCAAACCGACGUCCUCCUCUCGACGCAUAAAGGUUGUAUUUAACACUUUGGGCUCAACUUUUGUGUUUUGCCAAAUGUUCCAUUCCAUUUGGUCAGCAUUGGCAGCCGGCAAACGGAAAACAACGUCAAUCGUGAAUAGGUGCCAAGCAUGAUGCAAAGAGAAUAACUGUGCUGUUGUUGCUUCACCGUUGAAUUAUUGAUUCGAUUAUUUUUUAUUUUUUUCUCCCUCGACAGCCUGGAAUAGCGUACUUCUAGGAACCUUCGAUGACGUUUGUUUACCAUCACACUUUGACAAGAGUUUUUUUUUUCUCUCCCCGAGUUUGAAGAAUGAUGAGUGCACGACCAAAGAAUGGGCACUGUCAAGUGAAGCUUUGCAUUUUUCAAACAACCGUCUCCUUUUCUCUACCCUUCACUUUUUACUAAAAAAAACUUUUGUAGUGUCGAUGUCUCCCUGGCUUCGCUCUCUGUGUCUUGUUAUUCAUCCAAAGCAAACACGAGACGAUGAGUGUACGGUAUUAUAGUUGCAAGUUGUUUUUCUUUUCUUAAAUUUCUUGGUAGGUGUAUGCACCGAAACAUCCCAUGUCACACAAAUUAAUUUGAAUAGUCAAAACACACUUGUGUAGUCUCCGCUUGUGUAUGUAUUAUAUCCUUCAGGUACAUAGGCAAGCGUGCGUCGACGUGUGCGAGCGUGAUGGGCGUAGUCGAAGCAAAAAGAACAAGACACACACGCACAGCGAGACGGGAAUAAUCUAUUUGCUACUCGACAGCAUUUUCGAACGUGUUUUCUUUCUAAAACUUACAUACGUGUAGUAUAGAUCUCCCACGACUAAUGCGCCAGCGGAUCGAUUCCAGUCUAUUUUGAAUGACGUAUUUCAUUUGCGUGCAUUUCAUCUUUCACAAGUUAUUCAGACAAGAAAGAACUGGUCGAGAGAGAAAUUUAUUCAAACUGCUUGAAUUUACUUUUAGAUUGCAUUUACAUCCGUACCUUCAUUCAAUCUGUUUUUGCUUUGUUUUGUUUGCUGUAUUUUAUCCCGUUUUAUUUUAUUUUUUCUUCUCUUAAGGCAUGUUGAAAAGUAUUAAAUUCAACUUGAGAUCGAGAAAGAUGAAGCUUCUUGAUCGAAUGGGCGUAAUUACCGUUUUCUCCCAGCAGUUGACUGGGAACGGAGACAUCAUCCUCUCCGGAUUUCAAAGAAGGACUGAGAGAGAAAGAGAUAGACGAUGUUCUGACUGAAGUAUUAUUCAUUUAUAUUUUUUUUUUCUUCUUCUUCUUCUUCUUCUUAUCAAAUCGCUCUCUACUGUCCCCGGAAGUCGUCCAGAGUAGCAUAGCGCGAACCGCACAAACAGUUGGGCGGAUCUUGGGCGUUUGAUUUCUGCGAGUCUUGCCCUGAAAUCGCUGCGCUCUCGUAUAAAGUGAUGCGGAUCAAACGAAAUGUAAUAAAGAAGUUCACUCUACUCGGGGAUGUAGUAUUGCCCUGCAUUAUUCUCUAUUUGCAAUGCGGGGAGGUGCGUGCGUGGGUCACUUGAUUUCACGGGCCGAGGAGACGUAAUAGCGCAGAAAAGGGGGGGGGGGGGGGGGGAGCAGGGAGAGGAGGAAGGAAAGUGUCGAACAUAAAAAUGUAAGCCCAGAUGGCUCCAAUUUACGAGCAGUACUUGAAGACGGGAGAGGACGGUGAAAAACAGUGCGCUCCGCAUGCAACUGGCACGUCAUUGCUCCAAUGUUUUUUGGAGGGGAAUCGACCCAGUCCCAUCACUCUUUUUUCCCCUUUUUCUUCUUUUCCCUCUUUUAUUUUUUGGUGUAUGCCAGGCCAAAAAGUUUGUGGACGUUCCCUUCGAAGCUAUAUACAGAAUAUACACCCAGCACUCUGGUCGUAAAAAAAAACUAAACAUAAUGAGGCAGCGUUAUAAGGUGUGCGUGUGUGGGCCAAUAUGAAAUACUACGGUCUCCAAUUGGACUAAAGAUCCUCUUGAUGGCUCUUCUUACGACUUAAGCUCUAAACGCUUUCUCUUUAACCUUGUCGGUUGCGUCAUUUGGCUCCAGUAGAAGCUGCACCGCACGUAUAGUCUAAUGCCUGGGCGGCUCUAUAAGGAGAAGGAAGAAGCUUAAUGAAAGCAGUCAGAGUAUUAUAAUGUCUGCAAUCUUGAUGGUGGUGGUGGUGGAAGAGCCAAAGCCUCUUCUCCUUUUGUCUUCUCCCAGUCUCCCCAUCAAAUUUGUUUUCAAGCCGGAAGAUAAUGAUAAGCCCAUUUUGCUCUAUAAUCAGUCCUGUACUACCCCCAGCCAAUCCAUAAACUCACGGUUUUUAUUUGUCUGUGUGGCGUAUACGCGCGUACGAGAUGAGACUUUUCUAUGCGUUCAGAGUGGAAGCAACUAUUCGAUUUCGACUUGUUUUCGUUGUACAUACCUUUUUUCGUCUUCUCGGAUACAGAAAAUUGUUUCCCAACGUUAAGAGAAAUGGGCCUUCAGCUGCUGGAUAUAUUGUCGAUUUUUAUUUUAUUUUUCUUAACGAGGAACUUCUUUAAUAGCAAGUUGCGCUCUAUGGCGUCUGUGAGGGGAAGCGACCGAUCGGGGAGCUUUCGAACUUGGCGAUCUCGUGCCAUAUAACCGCUGCCGUUUUCCCACGUCUUUGCCUUUCCGUGCCUGAGUUUUUUUUUUUUUUUUUUUUUUUUUUUUUGUAAUAAAUUAAUUACAAAAGUAUUUUUUCCCUACUAAUUCUCAGUUCUCCCGUUGAGGGGAGGGGGGUGGUAAUGGUAAACGGGAAAAACCUUCGUCGAGUCCCCCGAUUUAAUUUAUUUCACAUUUAUUCCUUUUUUUUUUCGAGAAAAAUAAAAAUUGAAGGUGUCGUAAAAUAAAUUGUAACCCGUUUUUUUCCAAGAAAAAAAAAGAGAGAGAAAUAAAUGUAAUCCCCCUUCCUCUAGCCCUGACGUAAUUUCGCAUCCAGGGACGGGCUAGAAAAGUGAGUUACCUUCAAUCACAUUUUUAUAGUUGUUCGAGGCGUUUCUAGAUAUAUUUUACCCCGCUACUCUCGCCUGUCCGUUUGUGUGCGCAUAAUAUACAGCAUGACUAGUCGUUAAAUGCAUCGAAUGUCUUGGGGCUUUCACGCUCACGAGGCGAACUGCCCUCCCCUUCUAUGCAGGGCAGUUUCGGCUUGUAAUAACUGCAGUCGUUCCAGUACAAAGCGAUCAUUAAGAAGAGGAAGGACUGCGAAGGGAAAGAAACAAAAGCAAAUGACAGGGGAACUUUGUCUACUGACCAUAUUGACUAUACAAUGCACAGAAGAAAAAGAAGAGAAAAUGGGGGAGAGAGAGAGAAGAAGAAGGCAUAACAAUUUAUUAAAUUUUCCAACUGGCCAGAAAACCCCGUCAUUAGCGCUACAUCACACGAAAGGGUUCGUCAUCGUUCUCCCUCGCGUCCUUAUUCCUUUGGAUGUUUUUGUUAGAAUGUCGUUGUGACCACAGAAAUUGGAUUGGCCACCAGAGAACAUCAAUCCUUUUCUCCCCGAGAAAUAGGGCCAAGCAGCAACAGAAGAAGGAAAAACAUUACAGUAUUUCUCCUUGGGAGCUGAGGAGAAACAAGCUUCGUUACUCAUUUCCUCUCCCUCGGCCCCUGUCUGCCCGUCUGCCCGAUCCGCACAACUCUCUUCCUCACUCAUUCAAAGAGAGAGGGAACUUUUGGGGUAAUUUACCCCCCACCCCACCCCCCAAAAAAAUAGAUCACUGAAAAGGAACUUCCUUUUCGCCUUAAUAAAACUUUCUGCUGUGCUGUAGAGUCGUCGGCCAUUAUUGUCGAGCCGUGUCUAAGAAGAUAUUACGAAUUGAAGUCCGGUGGACGCGUUGCGUGACAGAGCGGGUUCGUUGCGGGGUUCCCGAAAAGAAUCCAUAGCGGAUACAAUCGAAGCCGGAUCAAAUCGGCCAUCGGCUGAUUUGGUCGUGUUGGCAGGAGAGGGGAAGCCCCCCCGAAGAAAUAAUAAGUGUGAUGGCGUUGGCUGUAUGGAUUACCCAAUUCAUUAACCUUAUCUAUUAGAUGUAGUAGCGCAAGCUCAAGAAUAUAUAUCUAAACGCAUGCAGGGGAUAUAGAGUACACGUCAGAGGGUUUACAAGGGAAAGGAAACAACUUGGCAGACAUGGGCUAAAGUAAGUAAUGAGCUUCGCUACAUAUAGAGACUAAGGAAAACACGGAGACUGAGAGAGAGUGCAAGUUGAUUGACGUUGUGACCAGUUUCUAUGACAUCGCCAAGUGGAGCGACACUAUACAUCAGCACUGUGCACGAUGGAUUUCGCUUCGGUGACCACGCGCGCGCCCCCCGCUCUUCUCUUUUUGGGGGGCUGAUUCAGCGUCAUCGUCGUCUCCCAGGGCUGCUGCUCUCUCCCAAUGCGUCAUGUCACGCGGAGGUGAGAGAGUAGCACAGUAGCAGCAGCAAAGCAGUAAGGAGAGAGUCUAAGGGAAAAGCUGAUGAUGACAGACCCCCGUCCCCGUCCCCCCUUUUCCCCAAGAGCUAUUGUGAAACGUCCAAAGAGAACUCCAGGAAACAUGGUAAUUGCGCUAGACUCCACCUACCAUCAAACCCCCCUUUACGACCGAGUUGCCGUGACAGUAGCUGAAUACAAUCUACGUUAGUUACUGUCAUGUAAUUGGUUCUCAUCUCGAUUUUUUUGUUUUUUGUUUCUUGCGCUGGACAGGAAAAAAAAGGAGAGGAACUAUUGUUUACUGUACUAUAGUUUAAUCUCGACACACGACAACCAGUGGCCCUGAAUAGGGAGAGAAUCACAAUCAGUUGAAGCGAUUUCAACGCUUGUUCUUAUAAUAUUCCUGGAAUCAGAAAUGUUAUUGUUCAAAGUCAAGACAAACACAAAACACAAAAAAAAAAAAUUUCUUUUGCCUGUAGGCGUGGGCGAUGCUCACAAUCGUAGUACCUCGACGUUACGCUCGACUCCAAACGCCGUUGACAUUGAGCUCUAUCAAAAGCUUAUUUUUGUCUUUUUCUUUAUUUUCUUUUUUGAUUCAUAUUUCUUUUAGAUUCUCUUGGCCUUCUCUCCCUUUUUUUCGUAUUAUGUUUUGGGUUCUUUUAUUUUCUAAUAUCCUGGGAAGUGAGAAUCAGAGUGACGACGACGAGUUUCCAGAAGAGAUGAACCGCAGUCACGCCAAUUGCAUAUUGCUUCAGCGUUAAGGCUUUUUCUCAAACUCUUUUAACAUUCGUUGCUGGGCCAUCACGAUGACGUGAUGGAAAAGGUAUUCUUUUUCUUUUGCUUAUAUAUAUUUUAGUUGUUAUUUUGUUUUUCUCUCUUCUUCCCUCCCGACUUUCUUUAACGUUCUCUUUCGUUAAUCCCGCUGGCCUCACGACAUCGCAACGCACUUCCGCCAGACGAGAUUCUUUCUUCUUUUUAUUUUCUUUGGUUUUUUCUUAUUCUUCUUUUUUAGACAUUGUAAAUACAGCAUGAUUUCCUCUCUGUCUGCCUCUUAGACUGUUUCCCUAAUGAAAGGUUUCUCACACCGACAGCGUAGCAGCUCGACUUGCGCGAGAAUUAACUGGCAUUAGCUCUAGGAUGAACGUGAUUUUGCUCCUCUCUCCGUCGGCGUUCUUCCUCCUCCAACUCGCGCGUCCGCGUCCGUUGCCUCCGGCUUUCAGUAGUCUACACGAUCGAUCGGCCUCUCCUCUCGUUCGCUUGAUAUUUAGCCUUCGCCAACAUGUUUUCGAUCAAGAGAGAGAGAGAGAAGGAGAAAGUCGCUCCUCUUUGUAGGUCUUGUUGUAUAUGUGCAUGGGACCGCUUUGCGGGGAGAUCUUUUCUCCCCGUAGUUUGGAUCUCAUCGACUAGUAGCCGAGGAUUGACGUGAUAACAUUCGGGAAACGAAAGAAGAAGGAGGUCGAAAACAAAACCAGACUCGUGAAAAUGUAACCGGGGGUGGUCUGCUGUAUAAAUAGACGACACCGCCUUCUUCUAUUCCCCCCCUCCCCACCGAAUAGAUAAAGCCCGAAUCGAAAGGACCCCACUAGAUCCAGAAAGUCAAUAUAUAUUUGGGUACGUGACGAUACGAUUGAAAGAUCUCCAAAUGAUAUCUGCUAAAAAGGGCAGAGAGAGACGAUGAAAUGUCGGCCGUCGUGUGUGUGUGCUGUGUGUAUCUAUGUUGUAAAACACACACACAUCAUCCCUCUAGACAUUUGCCUCAAAUGCGCUCUGAUGUGUUGUGCCACUCUCGCUUGUAUAUUAUCCCAUCGGGUACAGGCAAAAAUCGAUUGACGUUUAUUACUUUAGCCAACCCGAGUUUUUCAUUUCUUUUUUCUUUUUUGGUCGCUCAUGGCUGUUUUUUUUUCGAUCCUUUUUUUUCCUUUAUUCUGUCCUCGUGUGUGUGUACUGUGUACACGUUUGCCCUAGUACAUCCAUCCGGGGGACCUUACUAUUUCCGAUAAGGGUGAAUAGGAAGGGACCUCCCAAAAAAGAGGAAAAGAUACAUCGGGAGUUUAUUGAAUUUGCCCUUAUUCUGAGCCCGAGGAGCGCAGCAGUCACUAUACUAGCAAUAACUUCAUUGGCGUCUAACUUGACUGGACGGAGUCAUUCAACCGUCUCCCUAUGGAAAAAGGAAUUGGUUAUACGACACCGGAGACGUCCGACACAAAAAUUGGAAAAAGGAAUUCAAUCAUCGCCGGGCGCAAUUCUCCCGUUUUCAAUUCAACAGUCGGGUGAGGAGGAUGAGGCAUGUCAACGCCCAAGUUUGUUUUUUCCCUUCCCCUCCACCUUCCGCCAAUAACAUUCGAUUUAACUUGUAACACACCAACAACCGUCUUUGAAAAAAGAAAAAAAAGGGAAACAAGUUGAUCUUUUUUGUUGUUGAUGUUUUCUAUUUUUGGGUUAUUUUGUCGUUUCAAAUGAUUCAAGUAAUAUUUGAACCAACUAAACGAUUUAAAAUUAUAGUCGAAAAAGGUAGGCGCUUUUCAUUUGAUCGGAACGAGAAAUAAAAUCACUGUCACAUCCCGUUGAACGAAAAAUGUGUACGCGGCGCCAAGGGAAAUGAAAAGGUUCAAUUAUGUGAAUGAUGACAUUUGCUGUCGACUGAAUAAUCACGGACAAGGCGAUUUCCUAGUUCCUCUUUUUUCUCUCUCUCUCUCUUCCCUAUACCACCCCCGCAUCUUGCGGCUCAAUUCUUCCACGGGAGAGAGAAAAUAAAAUUCUUUCACGGUCGUCUUCCAAGGGGGUUGGUUAAGGAGAUAUGCCCGGAAUGAAUCAAACCGUGACGUGUUUUCAAAACUUUAUUGAAAAAUGCCAGGGCGGAUAUGAGCGGAUUGAAUAGGAAAAAAAAGGUAACCGAGUCUACAGCUCGCAGUGUGCUGGGUGCCUGGGCACAUUUCUUCGCGGUUGAUGAUGACACUAUCAAAGAAAGUCUCUUGUUGCUUCCCUCCCCGUACAAAAAAGAAAAAUAUAAUAAACUUAUUUCGUGGCGAAAGAAAAAUACCGAGUUGAGUGACUGAACGUGCAUGUCUAGAGACUGCUGAUGUCAUCCCGAUGACUUGUCUCUGCUGCAUUUGCAAGGAGAUAUCCUCAACCUGUUCACAAAAGCGCAACGACGGGAUUAUCGAUCGAUAAGAAGGGGGGCAAAAAAGAAACCGAUAAAUUAAAAUGAAUAAUUGGAUGGACGAAAAAAAAAACCUUUGACGAGUUAACAGUUUGCUGCGAGGACAAAAUGGGAAAAACCCGGGAUCGCGUGCUAGUGUGUAUACGUCUUAACGCAAGUCCAGCAUAGCGUUGCUGCUGCUGCUGGCCCAGAUGGCCGAUGGUCACGAAAGCUCCGACUCUUUUUUUCGUCUAUUUACUACCCCCAGCUUAUAUAUGAUGUAUUCGUCAAUUAUCGUACACGACGCCGUAGAGAGAAAAAAAAACUUUGCUCAUGGCGACGUAUUGGGCAAUAAUAGUCGAUGAUUCAAAGCUGCUGCUGGUGGACAACUGGACAUAGUCUUGUGAAAUCGUGUGCGCAUAUCACUUGUGUAAGAGAGCUUGGAAAAGAAGAAGAAGAAUGUGUAUAAUAUUCUAUAUAAACUAAACAAUGCAGCCGGUCCCAUUGAAACGCUUUUUUCGUGUGAAAACUCUUUUGUAAAAAAAAAAAAGAAGAAGGUGGGCAAAUAUGGCGGCGGUGCACGCCAACCGGGACGAAGAGUAAUACCAGUGUCCACCGAAAUACAAUGGGCGCUCCUUGAUGGAUAGACCGGCGAUUAUCCUACCGAAUUCGUCCGGUGAAGAACCGUAGAGAGCAUGGGUUACUUGUGUGAAAACACACACCAAGCGAGAGAAAGAGAGAGAGAAAAGACUAUAGCGACGCUAUACACACGAUCGGCGGUUUGACGUAAUUAACCACACGCGUUUGGUUUAGGCAACCCAUUUUGGGGUAUACCACCAAUGUGUAUCGCUUGUGACUAUUGUUGUUGUAGCCUGCCGUUUUUUUCUUUUCCCCCGACCACUAGAAUUAAAGGCGUGCCUACGAUACUUUGCAUAUUUGUUCUUCUUUCUUUUUCAAGCGAAUUCCGAGACAAAAACAAGAGCCACGAAAGUAUCAGGCCUCCCGUAUUUUACGUCCAGCAACAUCGACACGUAACAUAUAACUGGUCUUUUGGGUAGUUGUUGUUGACUGUUGAGAACUAGCUCUUAUCUCUUCCAGGGGGCUUGUUCAAUUGCCUCGGCAAUUACUGGACUCGAGGCCAGUAGCCACGAAAGAAAAAAAAAACGAAAUCCCCCAAAAAAUUACAUAUCUUUUAUAGAUUAGAGAAAAAAAAAAAGAAAAAACAGAGGAGAAGGUAGUGGAUAAAUAAUAACACGUAACGCUCUUCUAUACUCGGUUCUGGUUCAUACAAGCAAGAGAGAAUAAGGGUGUAAAUAUAAAAUAACCUUGAACUCGACCCCCCUUUUUUUUUUUUACUUCUCCCUAUGUAUAUAUCUCAGUCCGGAUGCAAAGAGGAGAAGAAAUACGGCCGCGGGACUUGCGUAAGAACGUAUCUACACAUAUAUAUAUAAUAUAUACAUAGCUACACAAAAGAGUAUAUGUUAACUACUUGGCCUUCCUCCUGCUGGUGUGUGUCCUCCACGUCUGAAAUGUGUAAUUACCGGCCGAAAAAGAAAAGAAAAAAAUACUAGUUUUUCUUUUUUUUUCUUCCUCUUAUUUUAUUAUUGUUAUUUACCCGGAGACUGGGCACGACUGUUAUCAGCUUGCACCAAAUGAGACGGAAGAACGUUUGUGUUGUAACUUUUCCUUCUGAUUGCUCCAUCGUCGUCGUCGUCAUUUUGUUUUCGUGUUUAGGUGUUAUGUUUCUUCUUCACCACGAAAUUUUCUUGAUAGUAAUAGCCUCGUAUAUUUUAAGGAAAGGCGCAAUGGCGCAACUAGGGAAUCUAUUUUAUUUUAUUUUAUUUUUUCAUUUUCCGUGUCUCUCGGAUUGACGGAUUCAUCCGGAAUUCGAAAUGAUAGCGCCUUUACAUUAUAUACCUGAGAGAAAUGGCGACAGCGGUUGUAUUUCAUCGAUAUGUUCGCAAAGAAAAAGGCAAAAGUUUCCCCAUUUUCUUUUGAGCUUGUUUUAUUUGACAUUCGGCUGGGGCAAUUACAUCUUGUUUGACCUGUCAAACCCGGAUGCCACGUCGUCCAACGGCAUGUGACAUGACGGAUGACACGACACUCUUCUUGUUGUGUGUAUGGCAGCAAAUGCCGGGGAGACCACCACCAUUCAAGUUCUAUUUUUAAUCUCAUCUCUUUCAUUUCUUUUUAAAAAAAUAAUAAUAAAAAAAACCCUUCUUAUUAUUUCUUCUUUGGAUCCGUUUUUCUAAAAAGCUUGUUAUUUUUUUUCUCCUCUCCUAAAUUCUUUUGUAGCCUAUUAUUAUUACUUGAAUGGAUCUCUGAGUCAUUCGUUUUCCUCCUCUUUUUUUCUCUUCUUCGUGAAUUCUUCUCCGUUGGAAUUGAUAAAUCGGUUCGAAACGACAUAAAAGGUUUGAUCAAUGAGGAACUGACUUUUCCCCUUUUUUUUCUUCUUCUUCCUCCUCUUCACUGGCAAAGGACGUCCGAAAAAAGGGGGAGGGAUAGUAAAAAAAAAAAAAGGAGGGGGGUUAGCAGCUCUCAGAUAUUGAUUCGAUUGUGAUGAUUUCUGACUGACGACCGGCGGGAUUCACCCGAGCGCGAACGAGCAGUAAAUCUUUGUCGACGAAACCGAGCAACCUCCUUCUCCUCCUCCUUCCCUUCCCUUGAUCUUUUGUCGCCAUUGUGUGUGUGUGUGUGUUACGUUCGUGUAUCUCUGAGCUGUGUGUGUGUGUUAGACUGCGUCGUGCAGCAGCCAGUGCCAGCCGGACGGAAAGAACGGGGAGAAAAAAAGAAAAAGAGUCGGGAGAUGUUAUAAGAGGCAACGGGGCCCUGCGCUCGGCUUAAAUGCAUUUAUCACUCGAUUUGUCGGGAGCCAAUGUUGUCGGGAGCAAACACACACACACACACACACACUAUAUCGCAUUGUCUGCGCCCGCUCUAUUGUCGCUGCGUUUAUGCGUGUGAGAGAGUUGGGGGGCCGCCACCGCCGUUAUACGGAACUAAUAGUCGGGAUCAAAGGGAAUUUAGUUUGAAGGAGGGUUAGAGUUGUAAAGGGAGAGGUGGUGAAUAUUACAUGCAAAAAGGAAAUAAUGGUGGCGGUGGUGGGGACGAGCGGAAGAAGAGAAUGGAGGUACUAUGGCAACAUUGAUUCAUUUUUUUAUCCCCCCCCCUUCUAUGUGUGUGUGUGUGUGUCAUGAAAUUGAAGGGGGGAGGUGGCCCGAUCGUCGCCAGAACACUGAUGGAAGAGCCGGAAGCGGCGAAAGAAAAGGAAGGGGGGGAUAGGAUAGUUCGUUGGGUGUGAAAAAUGAUAUAAAAAUUGCGCAGGAGGGAAUAGGCGACGGGGGAAGUUUGCUCGGCAGCGAUCGGGGAAGAAAAAAAAGGAAGACACGGGGGCAAACGAUGAUGAUGGAAGAAGAACGACGUUGUGUGUGUGUUACGUCAAAGGCAGAGAGAAAAUAAAAGUGAGGGAUGCGAGAGAGCGAGCGGCCGGGGCAUCCAUUGUCGGCGAUGUGGCAAAAAUGAGAUUAAAUCCGGGACGAUGACAGAUAGUUUUGAAUUGGAAUGAACGAGUUGAGCGAGUCCUUGUGUUGGGGCGAAUAAGACGCAACUUGUAGUAUAUGUACAUAUCUUGCUCGCACCGCGCUCUCAAGUUUUACUUCCGCGUGUGUGUGUGGCAACUGCUCGCGGACGGACAUCACAGUCUCUAACGAUCAAAGCAAACCGCCGCAGCACGUGAGGGGAGAGGGGGGGGGGGGGGGGGGGUAGCAUCAGCAGUCGAGCAGAUGUCUAUAAUAAGUUGAGAGUGAUUCCGCGCGCUAGAUGAGAGAGCUGCUUCAGAAUAUUUGGAGUCUCGUCGGUUAGACUAUACGCGCGUGUAUGUCCCUCGGAGCUAUCGUUUCGGGAUUGCUAGAUGAACCGGCAGCGAGAGCGCACCACAACCACACAAGAAAGAGACAGUGUAUAAUAGUGGAAAAGCGAGAUGAUGAUGAUGGUGAUGAUGAUGAAGGAAAAAGACCAUUUACAGUUGAAUGGAGGCUCAAAGCGAAAAGAGUCUAUAGAGAGGGGAGAGACCUUGUGCAUCUCAUCAUUUUCGGCUGGAGAUCCCUCGUCAGCGAGCUAAAUCGUCUCAUUACCGGUCCCAUUCAGACUGUCGCAGUCCAAUAAGAUAAAAGAAUGGAAUCAAAAAGCGAGGAGAAAGAAGGAGCCAAUCGCUUUUUGGGCGGAUAUUUUCCGUUAGCAAACAAUCUAUGGCCUCCUCUCCAUUCGUUAUAAAUGUGACACACACACACACACACAUCAAUUCGAUUUUACAGUUUCUUAUAUUUUAUUCUUUUCUUUUUUCUUUUUCUCUUUUCUUUUGCCUUUUUGAAAUAUUUUCAAGAGACGGACAGAAAUAGAUGCGAUGAGAAACUCAUCGCCGAGAGAUCAAAAGGAGAUUGGCACAGGAAACUAUUAUUACAUUCCCUCGACAUUUUUGUUGCCUUCUUUCAACUACAUCCAGACCCACUAUUCCGAUUGUUAUUAUCUCUGUUCCCUCUUCUUUUUCUUUUUUUUUUUCUUCUUCAGCACUUAUAAUUUUAUAUUAUCGUCUCUCUCUCUCUUUCUUUAGCGCCCAGGUAUAUAUACAACGUUCAGUAGGUUCAGAGCUUUUUUAAGCGAUCGUCAAGUGUUAUAUUCUCAUUCUCUAUACAUAUAUAUUUCUCUCUCUCUCUCUCCCCUCCGCGUCCAAAUAAAUGGCCGGCGGUCUUUUCCCAUAACCUUUUGGCCACGAAAUCCUCAACUAUAUUCUUUUUAUAUUUUCAAAAGAGAAAAGAAGACGAAGAAGAAGAAUAAUGAUUUCCGACAGGCCCGUGUUGUAUGUGCCAGCGGUUCAUUACCUUACACACACACACACACACACUCACACGUAUACAUAGUAUAGAAUCUAAGAGAAUCUAAAUACCCAGCCGAAACUUUGCCCUUACAGAGUCGAGCCUUAAUUGGAUGUCGCCAGUGUUAUUCCGCAGGUUGGUGGUCACGUCACCUCUCUCUCUCUCUGUAUACACACACUCGACCUGGGCGGUGGUUGGCUCACCGUCGACCACCACAGGUAGUAUAGAAACUCACAAGAUCGUGGUCUCUCUGCGCCCAAGAAUUUAAUAAUCAUAAGAGCGAAUGCAUUGCUUUGGCUUGUACACAUGUACAUAUGUAUAUAUACGUACGCUUUUGGACAUGUAUAUUGCCUAUAGAGUGUUGCGCUGUUGGACUGUUUGGGUGGCGGCGCCUAUCCCUGUGGUCGGUCGGGGGCUGCCCGUCUCUUGUAUCACAAGGUCAGGGAGAUAUACAAGAAGAAGAAGUUCCUUUUUUUUUUUUUUUGUUUUGUUCUUGUUGUUGGUUGUUUGGCCUCCUGGCUGAGACCCUUCUCCUGGCAGACAAGGAAAUGAUGCAGUUGAUAGUCAAACCACAGAAAUAACCCACAACUCUCGGCCGUCCCUCUCUUUCUUUGCUUGAUAUUCUCUCUAGCUCCCCAUUUGGGUGACCACCGAACAACAGCACACAAAUAUACACAAAAAAAGCAUUUCUCCAGCAUAGUUCCUCUCGUCAGACCCAUACACGAUGAAAGAGAUAGAAGCUUUGGAGGGGGGUAGCAGUGGGAGCAGCACAUACUGUGAGAGCCUGAAAUGCAAAGAAAGUAUAGGGGGAAAAGCAACAAACCCAAAAAAAUCCAGAAAAAAACAACAACAACAGCUAUAUUUUAUUCCCAGUUUGUUUAGCAAUUAUGAUGGAACUGUGCCGCUACUGCUAUCAUCUAAUACUUCCUGCUAACCAGUGGAAGGCGGAGUGAUUUCGGAGGGGGGUGAAAGAUUUCCAGAGCAGCUAUAUAGCCUUGUUGGAAAUUAGAAUAACGGAUUGAUAUGUAUAUGCCUGCCGUCCGUCCGUCCGUCCCGGUCCGUCCCUCCUUCAUUCUUUUCAUAUUUUCUUACUCCUCCCUAUACUCGCCCUCUUUUCUGUUUUGCCUUGAUCCUCCAUUCCACCCCGCCGAUGACAACGAUGGAUGGCAUCAAAAAGUUGGAGGCUCCGAGAAAAAUCGUGACUGAUUUGUGGGGCCCUGAAUGAGAUGCUAAGUCGAUCGUUUAUAAAGCCCCCUCUCUCUCGCUCUCGCUCUUCCUGAGCUCUUCUUGGUCCCUCGGCUCUUGUGAGGGACCUGGAGGGGUCGGAUGAUGGAACCCAUUCACGUGGGUAUUGCUAUGCAAUGCAUUUGCUCUCUCUAUGGGAGAAAGAGAAAGAGAGAGAGAGAGAGAGUCCCAGAGUUCAGUCGGUUAUAUAUAUAUAUCCAGUAGGGAGGAACGAAAUUAAAUGCCGGCUGUCACUGCCAGCGUGAACACGCCGCUCCGGGAAAUCGUGCCGUUGUUUGGGCUGCUCGGCAAACGGGGCGGCGUGUCUAUGUGUAUAAGGAGAGAUAGUGCAAGGACAAAUGAACAUUUUUUCUCUCUCUCUCUCUCUCUCUCUCUUUUUUCCCGAUUUUUGUUUUCCAAAUGUAUUAUAAUCGUAGAAAAUAUAUAAAAGAUUUAUAGGGAAUAAGAAAGACAGUGUAUAUUAUAUCUAUACGUAGGAGGGAACAAACUCGAUGGGGGAGGGGGAGGACAACAAAAAAAGGGAACGCCGGAGAUGACGCAAAAGAAUGGUCCGAAAAGAUUGAAACGAUAUCAAGGCAGGCGGACACGAAGAGCAGCAGCAGCGAGGGCUUUGAACAAAUGGCGUUUUUCCCAGAAAAAUGGGGGCGAAAAUGUAAAAGAGAAGAAGAAGAAGAAGAAAAAGCGCAGGGGAUACACAUAGAAACCAAAAGGGGGGAAAAAGUGGGAGCAUUGGUAAAGAAAUGAAGCUUCCUCUUUUUUUUCUUCUUUAUUUCUUUUUUGUGUGUGAUUGAGAAGAUUAUAAGAAAACGACGUCGAGCGUCGUUCUUUUCUUCUUCGCCAUUGGACGUGCAUCAUGCAGGAUCAACGCGGGCCACAAGUUUCCGGCGACAGGGCCCAACGAAAUCGAGUGAACGAACGAAAUAAAAGAAAAAGGAAAAAUAAAAAAACGACGAUAAUGUGAGUGUGGCACAGAUGUUGCGUCAUAAGCGAUUGUGGGCGCCCUAUUAGAAAACGUUGAGAAAGUGCAGUCAGGUGGACGCAUCGGGGAACGAGGGAACCUUGUUACGUUACUUCCCCCAUAGGCAUCGCUUACCUCAUAUCCUAUACACACCAUCGACAGAACACAAGCACACACACACACACAACCCCGAAACGUUAUAUCGUCUGUACUGGAGCAACCAAAGUAUAUUGGCUGGUAAUGAGGAGAUAUAUAUCAGCCACCGCAAAAGCCACGAUAUAGUGAGAGUUAGAGGAGGGAUAUGAACAGAAAGAAAAAAUAGAACUGGAAUACAUAUUUACCAAAGAGGGGAAAAAAACCAACAACAAAACAUCAAGGGCAGGCGACGGGCAGACGGCAUAUUUGUCCAUGUUCGGAACCUAAUCCCGUUGCCCCCACGUUUUGUUGGGUUGAACGAAUGCGCGCACAUACACACAUAUACAUAGAUAUGUGCAUGUGUACCAUCAGGUCUGUGGGGGACUUCAUGUUUCCCUCAUGUAAAGGAUGACAAGCGCCCAGGAUGAGAAGGAAGACCACCCUAAUAUCAGAUUAUAUUCCAAUUUUUUCUUUCUUUUUUUCUGUUCGUCUCUUUUUCUCUCUUGUGUUUUUUCAGGGGAGUUUGGUUGGAAGAAGAAAAAAAGAUGGGGGGGUUUUGCCUUUUCCGAAAGCGGAGCUCUUGUGAUCUAUACGGUGGUAGGAGGAGCGCUCCUUCUCGAUUUCUUUCCUUGGAACGAAGGACGGACCGAUCGAGCUCUCUGCUCUCUCUCUCACACACUUGUAGGGCUGCGAGCGAAGCGAGUGCCUCUGAUUGCUGCUGCCAUCUGGAUUGGACAUUUGAUUCAUUUCACAGGAAUCUCACUCGGGUCUAUCGUAUUUUUCUGGGGAAAACUUUGGUAUCCUGCAAGACUUUGAUGGCCGUUUCUAUUCCAAAUGACAGCUCUCCUAUAGACUUGUCGGCGGAAAGUUACCCAACUGCGACUGAAAAUUGCCUUUUUUUCUUUUCGAAUUUCCCCGUCUUCUAUAGUGGCUGACAAUUAAAUGGGAAAAUUCUUCGAAACUUUUCAAGUAUUCCCAUUUUGGUUGUUUUUUCUAGGUUAGAAGAUUCCAUUAUCUGAUAAGCCUUUUGACAUGGUCGUCAUCGUCGCUGAAUUCGAGAUACUAUGAAAAACGUACGAAAUGUGUCAGCAGUUGUCCUCGUUUCCAAUUCCGCCCCGCUCUUAUUAUUAUGCGUUCCCCUCUAAUGGUUUUAGAUUGCGAUUAAAUAGACUUUUCUCUCUCUCUUCUACUGGCUGGCAAUAGUCUAAUACAGUUGUGACGACGAUGGUAAUGGCUGAUGCGUGUUUAUCGCUCAUUGACUGAUUCAUCAGUCCAACAUUUCCGACCGUUAUUUUUGAGGAAAUGUGUCCCGAAAGCAAACAUUGUCAGCCGUAUUUAUAACGCAAUAGUUUCUUUCACUCUUUAUAACUGGCGCGCGGAGCUACUAGAGCGUAAAAGGAGUGGGGGCCCGUCGACGACAAAGAGUGAUUGAAGUGCAUCGGCGAAUCGAUUUUCUUUACACAUUUUUCUUCUUUUUUUUCUGUCUCGGCUCGAAUGACUUUCGGAUUGUUCUGAUUAUAACGAGACUUUGUUUUUCCCCUUCUCUCUUUUUUUAUUUUAUUUUUAUUUGUCGAGUGCCGAGCCAAUCCGGAGAGCUGAGGCAAUACCAGAUCGUAAUGGUUGAUGCGUGUUUAUUGCUCAUUGACUGCUGCUGAUCAGCUCAAACCGAGAGUCAACCGAGCGUUAUUUCUCCCGAACGAUGGCGGAAACGGCCCGGCUGACGAUGGGAAAUAGUUCGACGCCAAACGAAAAAAACAAAACAAAAAACAUUGUCCGCGCUACGGAUAAUAUUCCGACUGAAAAUUCGAGCUCCUGUGCAGAGUGCCACAUUUCGUGACGGAGAAUGAUUCGAUUUAUAUGCGAUAACAGCCGCGCAACAGCCAUCAUAGAUCAACCGGGGAAAAAAAACUCCCGGCGUACAAUAUAGUUGUUGAAGGGAAAAUAACCGGGUGAUGAUCAUUAUUGUAUCGGUAGUUUAUAGUUUUUUUGUUUGUUUUUUUCUUUUCUUUAUUUUCUUUUCUUUUGCAAGGGAACGACGACGUGACUUUGAAACGUACCGUGGUCUGUCGUAAAUGAACAUGCGGUUUGUACUCUUCUUCUUCUUCUUUCUUUUUCUUUUCUCUUUCCAACAUUGUUGCACACACACGACCGAUAAUUGAAGGCCACCAAUCUUUUAUCACGCGUGAUGUGAAAGGUGGUCAAUUGUAAUCGUGUUAUUUGUGAGCAGUUGCCUCGGGACAUGCUUCCCUCUCUUCACGCCCGAGAUAUAUGGCCAUUCCAGGGGCACCCACACAUGCAGCGCAAUCAUCAAGUUUGUAUGUGUGUGUGUGUGUAUAGGUAAUAAGCCAAGCUUCAGUUAGAAGAAGCAAAACACAUUUUUUUUCCGAGAGAGAGUGAUUAACUGAGUUUUGUGUACUUAAAAGUUGCCGGAUGAGAAUGCGUGAAAGUCGGAAAGUCGCCCGAUUUUUAUAGACUCACAAAAGCGGGGGUGGAAUUUUAGGACAAAAUAAAAAAACAAAAUACAAAAAAACGGGUGCGUGUUUCUAUCGCAUUGAUCAAACACAGCGCUGCUGACCGCGGCUCUACCACCUAAUUUCCGUCCAAUAAAUGUCGGCCACCCGAAAACAUUGUCAGCCGGCGUUUACAUUAUACAAUAUUUUUAUGUAUUCGUACCCGAGAAAACUGCUCCUAAAUAUGGCUGUGUUGUUGUGUGUACAUCUGCGCAACGGCGAAUCAGUUCUGAUGUCGUACUGCACGCUAGUUACAGUUCAGAUCUAUAUACUAUCCGGUUUGAAUUUCAAGUCGGUCAUCUGGAAUGAAUUUCCACGAGCAGAUGAGAUGAGUCAAUUUCUGUACACCAUCUCCUGGGUUGGAGGGUUGGGGGGAGUAGAUGAGAAUUUAUGUUGAACGUGUACUCUGUAACCUCCAUUUUCUUGGCUUUUUCAUCUUCUUGCCAUUGCAACUCGGGUGUAUAUUCACAGGACCGAAAAAGCAGUUUGAGAGUCCAGCGAGCGCAAUGUGGUGGGCGCACAUGUUUCUGGCUAUCGUGACGGAUACAAAUGCACAUGUCUUGCUCCGCUUCGUCUUCUCUUUUCUAUUCCGUUAUUAUAGUAUACGUCGUCCUCCCUCGUCUCUUCUCUUCCACCCUCCGGAUUACACGCGGUCCUGACUUUGAAUCGGUUCUUCUUUCGGUUAGCUUUUUCUUUCUUUCGGCUGACCAUGAAAUCGGAAACUCUCUCUGCUGGCCAUCUUUUCCUAUAAAAGCUGCGAGUCUUUCAUCGUUGGCAAUUCCUCCGUCACACAACGGGCCGACGGGAGAGAAAAAAAAAGGUUAUAUUAUGCCGAGUAAGGUUGCGCAGUAGAUACUAUAGAAAUGAAAAGAAACAGACAUCAAAUGUAUUCUCCUCUCAUCUAAUCAUAAUUGAUUACGUGCGCGCUUUCAAUGUGCGCCAUAGGUUGGAUGAGGUGUGUUUGUAUGAGCAAAAAAAAAAACUUUUUCGGGUUGUUUAUCUGAUGUCAGUUAAAUAUUCUAUCAUGCGCGCGCUGUACACACACAGACAAGAAGAGAUUGCGUGUUCGCUGUGAAUACGAUCGAGGCAAAAAAUAUAAAGGAGAAAAAUAUUAUACUACAACAACAAAAAAAGAGAGUACACAUACCGGAUCCAAUUUUUUUCUUUCUUUUUUUAGAGUAACCAUCUGCCGCACGUAGACAUUUGAUGAUGAGAGGAGAAAGACGAGUGAAAAGAGGAGGGCGUGUUCCGAGAGUCCCUGCUACCUCUAUAUAACAGUUCGGCUAGUAAAUAUAUAGCGUAUAUAAGCUAUUGCUCUCAACAUUAUUCCAACCCAACAGGGAAUUUUUUUUUUCCUUCCCAUUAUGAUGAUGAUUUUCUAAUAUUUUUAUUAGAUCGUUUCUCCGUCCUAUAUGUCUGGCGCAGCCGUUUUUGUGAAUUAAAUGUAACUUUUUUUUAAUGCACAAAAAAAUGAACCGUAAAGACCGGAAGCUUUUGUAUACGGAAUUUCGAUGAGUGUUAUUUUCUAAAAAAAAAAGUAUUGAGAGAAAAAAUAAUAAGGCGAUGACGAGUGAGAGCACCGGCAGACAAAAAAGAAACUCCCUGCUUGGAAUUAAAAAAAAAUUUUGAACAUUAAACAAGUUAAUGGGGAGAGAAACGGCCAGCGGAGAGGUGUUGCACACAGAAGGGACGAUGCGUGAAGAUAGGCGUCCCGAUUUCCGUCCAACAUCAAAAUGCAAUAAAGCCUUUACCCCCCUUCGUACUACAUCAUUCGUUCCCUAUGGACGUCUCUCCUUUCCUUUUUUUUAUUUGAGUUGUAUUUUUUUUCACUUUUUUUAAUAUCAAUUUUUUUUUUCUUUCAAUUUUGGUAUGGCUUCCUCAAGCUGAGAUCGUGUGGAUUACACCCGUCAGAAGUUCAACGGGUACGCGUUGUAUAUCAUUUAAUAUUUUUAAAAAAUAUAGAGCGAAUAAAUAUAUAAUAAGGCGGUUAGACUUGCGAGAUUCCCGUGUAAACCGACUUGUCUCUCUGUCUGUGUAAUCAUUUUUCGUUUUUUUUUUUUUUUUUUUUUCUUGUUUUUUGUUUCGUUUGCUUGUUGGUUUAUCCAAUUAUUAUUUAUCGACUCGAGUGGCUUUCGGAAUGGGCUAAUGAUUGGAGGGCGGUCAAUGAGAACAGAGAACAAUUGACAACCGCAGACCGACGAAGAGAGAGAGACAAGGACAUAAGGAUAUAGAAGAUAAAGCUGAGAAGGACAACUUUUUUUCUUUCACCGCAUUUGAACGACUUCCCGACAUGACAGAAAUAGAAUCGCAUAAUGGUUGCUGGCGGUGUACCGUUGUAGUACACCUGCUACCCUUUGAUUUGUCCAAGGAUUUGUCACAGAGGAUUCACAACAUCAAAGGAGAAGGAAAAGAAAAUACAAGAAGAAGAAGAAAAAAAACGAGGAAACGACUGUGACGGAGAAACCCGUCUUUUGUCCGAUCUGCACUUAAACAUUUUAUAUCGUACAUUUUUUUUUUAUCCAAUAGCGUUUUAAGUCGUGUUGAACGAAUCAAAUAGAGUGUACACGUGUGGAAAUAGAGUCGUCAGGUUUUUUUGGGGGGGAAUUUGUCUUUUCGGGUCAUUUCAAUAGUUAGAGAAAUCAAUUCGCAUUACGAAUAUCGUGAUACUGUUUUUUUUUUGGCAAGCGGAACGGCAGAAAUGCGGGCUAGAGUUUUCGUGCUUGAAGGUUGUUGCUAGCCCGUUCGAGAUUCGAUCAAACAUGUUAAAAACGCAAAAUUUGGCACGUGUUUAAGGUUAAUUUCAACAUUUGUUUGGGGGAUUUCCACAUUCGCACACGGACAAACACAAUCUAACUCCCAUUAUUCAUCUAAAUAACCUUCAGAUUGAAAAGGAAGGAAAAAGAGAGGAAGAAAAAGUAAGCAAUUCCUCGUCAUCUUUUAUUUUAUUAUUAUUUUUUUUUUUUUCUUGUUGAAUUCUUUCUGGAAGACGCUGAUUCAUUCGAGGCGGGCGGCCGCUCGUUUUUCUCGACGCUACACAAACCAUGUGUUUGAUUUUUAACGAAAAUUGAAGGACGAGAAGGGUUUUUCUCGUUUUUUUUUUCUGGGAGGAAAUAUAAUGGCGCCACUCUACCGUGACCAAUAACCCGUCAAGGCAAAAGAACCGUCAAUUAAACAGGAAAAUGCCUUGUUGUUUUGUGGGAGUUUUUUUUCUUCCCUUUUUUUGUUAUUAUUAUUUCUUUAUAUUCCUUGUUUUUCUUUUGUGUGUGUAUUGCAUUUUUAGUGGCUUGUUUUGUGAUGCUCGUUCGUGGCGAAAUGUUUCCAGGUCCUUUUUUUGUUGUUGAUUCCUUGAAGGAAAAAAGGAAAGAAAAAAAACGACUAAACAAAGUUUCGAAAUAAUAUUUUUUACUUUUUUUUUCAAAUAAUUUCUCUAAAGAAUAUAAUAAUCUUGUGAAAUUGCUGAGAACGGUCGUCAUCCUCUUUCAUGCCGGGAUCGUUUGAUUUUUUUCUUCUCCUUCUAGUAAACACAAAAGUCGUCGGAAACGUGGCAAAUAAAACUCGUCGGGAGGAUAGAGGGAGUCAAAAAUCACGAUCGAUGAAAAAUAUGCUACAAGCGAACGCGCAGCGGGUCAAAAAGAAAUCACGAACGACGAGUGUAACGAUAUAUAUAGCGUACAUAAUAUUCCGUAUGAUAUCCUUCUCUAUAAAAAUCGAUCUCUUUUUCUUUUCUUGCCUUGACUAACAAGAAGCUUCUCGGUAUAUUGUGAGGGGAAAAAAAGCUUCACGUCUGUUUAUGCACGGAGUGAUGACCUCCUUCGCUCCUUUUGUCGAUUCCAUCGGUUAUGCAUUUCGCGUAUUUUUUUUUUGUGCGUUGUUUGUUUGCCCUUGCUAUAUGCGCAUGUGACACUAUCGCAUCAACAGGGUCGCCCAGUCAGUCAUCGGAAUUGGUUAGAUUUCUUUUUUUUUAUUAUUAUUUCUUGUUUUGUUUUUUUUUAUUUGUUGACGGUGCCGGGGAUAGAAAAAUAAAAAAAAAUAGCAAUUCUUUUUGACAGAACUUUUCUUUGAUUCCCUCAUGUCCAUAUGUGAUAUCUUAAUGUCCUGGAGCGGCUCGAUCUUUGGAACGUGAGAGCCUUUUCCCGACGUCAGUUUCGGUCUAUUUGUUCGCCCGAUGAGAAGAGACUGGCAUUUUGGCAAUGUAAACGCUUCUACGUUGUUCUAUGAGCUUCGACUUGAUUAUCGGGCAAGACCAUGUACGUGUUUGGCUCAUUUUGCAUCUCUGCUUUCGGUCGUUGUGAAUUUUGAUCAAAAGUUAAUUAUUAUUCAAGGCUAAUGGGAAAUUGUUUUUAUCAAGGCCCCAUUCCCUCCUACUUCUUAUUUUUCCGGAAUAUACACGUCCAUUAUAUGUGUGUGUGUGUGUGUGUGUGCGUACUCUUCUUGCGGUGCUGCGAGGCAAGCCACAAAAUGUCUGUUUCACUGAUGGUAUAAACUCGUUUCGGAGCGCCUCCUUGUGUUUAGAUUCUUCUGCGGUACCUCCAGUCCCCCACCCAUUUUUCUAUCGUCUUCUUCUUCUUCAAUUUCUUACAAUUUCUUCCCUUUUUUUUACCUCCCCAUUCUUUUAUUAAGAUUACCUAAUUACCCUCAUCUCUUCGGCUUUUUUGUGAUUCCCUCCCUCUCAUUGUCCUGUUGUGCUAAGACCUCCUCUCCUUUCCCAUAGUCUUACAAUUUAUAUGCGCACGGUAUAACUUCUCGGCUGGGGUCUCUCAUAUUCUCCUAUUCUCCGCCGUGCACAAGACCCCAUAAAAAUCAAAACCUCUCCAGGAGAGAAAAAAAAAAAAUACUCGUCUUCUUUUUGGUUUCCACCCCAGUGCUGUCUUUCCUGCCCAUCUCUUCCAUUCUUCCAUCUCUACAUGGAGGCCGAAUUCGUGUUACCGUGUCAAAAAUAAAUGUCGAGGUAAACUGGUCGUUCGGAUUAUAUUCAGAGGAAGAUCACAACGGCAGCAGGUGAUGCAAUGUGGGUAGUAGCCUGUAAUUCCCCCCCAUCGGCCGCCGCACACCUUUGUGACUUUUUGCGAGCGCUAUUUGAACGGGAUAAGAGAUAUACUAUACCGCCCUGAUUUGUAUUAUACAUUCGGAUUCUUUUGGCGUUUCACACUAACAACGACGCAUCAAACUGAUGGUGGCCCCGUGGAGUUUUUCUGCCAAAAAGCUCGAGACCCACUUGGGCGCUGUCCCAAUCGAUCUAUUCCUUAUUCUUUUCUUGUACAUUUCCAACUGGGGUCGUUUGCAAAAGGUAAGAAAAGCCAGCAGCAGCAGCAGCAACAGCCAAAUGGAAAUAACUGGACAAAAAGGCGGCGCUGGCAUGAAGUGAAAUCUAAAAAAGCGCUAUACACAUCUCGGAAAAUGUUUAUGUAUAGUUGUAUGCCCAUACAUCAAAUAGGAGAGCUAUAGCUGCGUAUAUAAAUACAAGACGUAUAUAUAUACAGAGAAAAAAAAGAGACUUGUGUCCAUCCCCGCUGUGGGGAUGGAUUUUUAUGGCGCUAGCGGAGCCCAAAGACUUGUCACUUAGCCCAAAGAGUAAUUCUUCUUCUAUCUUACCAGCGCUCUCUGCUCCUGCCCGCUUCUCUACCUUUUUUUUCUUCUUUUCCUUAUGGCCCGGCCUCUCUCUCCGUUUUUUUUUUUUAGCUGGCCCGUGUUACGUUUGUUUGACACCUCCAAACUUUUUCCACCUUUUUUUUCCUUUUUUGCAAAACGAUUGUGAGAGAGAGAGCCGCAUCUUUUCGAUGGAAAAAAAAAGAAAUCCAACCCCCCCAAAAGAAAAACAACACGUGGGGCAGCAGGAACAGAAAUUGCUUUGGAACCUUUAAGACCUUUCUCUUUUUUUUUUCCUUUUUUCCUUUUUCCAAAUUUAUUAUUCCCCAAAGAAAAUCUCCCGUCUUCUUGUAUUUUUCCUUCCAAGGUAUAGAAAUGUCGUGUUGUUGUGGUAGAAGAGCAUUUUGAAAAGCUAUACACAACAAUUGGGAAGAAUCGCUAUACCAUUUCGCCCUUGGUGGCUAUGUGUGUUUUGUUAUAUGUGUUAUGUUCACGUUGCACAGUCCAGGCGACUGGCCGAAGAAAAGAAGCGGAAAUGAUAUGAAACUAAACUAAAUCAAUUCGAAAUAUAAUAUCGUCUGAGGGGGAAAAAAAGAUUCGGAAUUUUUUUUUUCAAAUGGGAAUGAUAUACCAAACAAAUUCUCGGCAUACGCGUUGUGCACUGGCCCGUGUUUAGCCCCAGUCAAGCCCAACCGAGCCGGUUUCGUCACACUUAAGAAAGGAAGAAUUUCGGUGCUGGGUUCAUCGGCGUAACAGUCGACGGGGUCUUGUGCCAUGCAUCAUUCUGCCACGGUCCUUUGAGCAUCUUCAUCACAAUUCUAUUUACACGAUUUAAAUUUUACCCCAUCUUCUAUCUUUCUAUUUACCCCAUCUUCUUUUUUUCGUCCCCGGAAAAGGGAAAAAAAAACCUGCUGGAUCUUGUGUGUCUUUUAUAUUGUCGCUGAACUGAGCCUAUGCCUUUAACGAAAAAUAAUUUUUUUUUCUCUGCUUCAUUCGUGAGCCGAGGCUACGGUCGGAUGGGUGAUUUUUUCUUCUUCCUUGUUUUUUUUUUUUUUUUUCGUUUUAUUUUACAAUCCGCCCCCAUAUAGUCGCCACGGCUGAAUGCUGUCGGCACAGUAUCAUAAUACCCUUCUAUAUUUACCGUAUCCAGCCUAUAUGUCUGUCUUGUUUUUCUCCCCUUUUCGAUAUACACUCGAACGCAUCUAAUAUGUUCUUGUGUAUUACAUAUGCGCCAUACCCUUUAGCCCCGCUCGUUUCAUCCUAUUCUGGACCAAAAGCAGCAGCAGCAGCAGCACAAGAGAGAGAGAAAAAAAAAGUUUCGAAUUCCCUUCUCUCUUCCGCACACAGCGGUCUAGUGUAUUGCAUUACUAAUGAAUUGGAUCAACCAGAUGGCGCUUUGUUAUAUAGAAUAGAGGCAUAUUAAAUUUACCAAGAACCGCUUCUUUUUCUCCUUCCUCUUCGCUCGGUUCCAUCUCCUAACAACACCCCAUCCGCCCAGCAUUCAUUUAACGCAUUAGACAUCUACAGCGUGUGUUUUUUAUUCUUUCUUUUUUCUUCUUUUUCAAGAGUGAGCUGGUGGCGGUGGUUUACUGUAAUGAAUGCUAGACUCGCACUGUUUAGUCAUUCUAACGCUCCGGAUUGUUUCCAUGCAGGCACCUUGUAACAAAUAACAAAUGAAAUUAAAAAUAGAAAUUGAAGGAAAAAACCCCUGAACGAAAAAACAAAAAAUCGAAUGGGGCCGACUCUACAACAUGCACAUUGUUUUCCAUACGUAAUGACUUCGGUGCGCGAGAGAGACUCACGUCGGUAGGAGUGAGAGAAUAUAACAUUCGUGAAUAUUACAUGUAUGCAUAUAUAUAUAUACAGGCGAGAGCCGGCCGCUGCUGGUGUGUGUGUGUGGGUUGCAAAAGUGGUAUGUGUGUGUGUAUAAUGUAGCGUAUUCAUUAUGAUGAUUAUUUGCUUUUGUCUUUCACUUGACACGAAACUCUGACGGCGGCAUUUUUAUUUUUCUGUUUUUUUGUUUUUUUUCAUCCACUGAAUUUGUGUGUGUGAGCGAUGCAGGAACUGGACGUGAGUCGACGUGCGCCAUAUAUCGCGGCGCAACAGACGCUCCGGCGUCGAGAGUUGUCUAAACAUCAUCCGCACACCACUAACAAAAAAAUAAAUAAAUCUAAAUAAAAGGGGAGAAAAAAAAGUGUAUCUAAUAAAGUGACACGUUCUCUUGAUUUUUGUUUUCAAAACUUUUGACGUAUUUUUUUUUCUUGAAACGAAAAUAAUUGAUAUGGGAUUGAUUUGCAUCCGUUUUUUUGUGCGCGGCGUAUAGGGGACGUCGAGGUGAGGCGCGUCGUGCGGGACCGUAGAGAAUUUAAUGCCCCGUACACGCUAAUUGCGACCGUUGUUUCUAAUGUAUAUUUUAUGAGUGACAUCCUCACAGAGCUACAGCAGUCACUUUGAGUUCUUAUUCCUCAUGUCCCCCAUCAUUCUGCCUUUUUUAUUCAUACGAUCACGGCAUUUAUUUUUUUCUUUUUUAAAUGCUGCUGUGGCCGUAAUCAUAACCAUCAGGUCUCUACCACCACUACGUGUGUGUCUUUUUUUUUCCUCUCUCUUUCUCGGCUACGGGCUAUAAUAAACAACGGGGGAAAAAAUGAAAAACCAUUUUCGUUUUUAUCAAAUAAGGGAGAAGAGAAUUUACCGUACAGUAUGUUACUAGAUGUGCCCUUUGAAUGAUACAACAACACUUAAUACAUUUCUUUUGCCUCCUCGGGUAAGUGCAAUCGGACAUAAAUGCAAUAAAGUGUUCCCCUAUGUGUGAGAGGCGUCAUUUUCCCUCGACUAACCCUCCUUCCUGCUGGCCAUAUUGGAACUGGUAGCCUCACUGCCUCAUCUCUCUUAUCUUUCCGUAUGUACCCAUUUGAAAAUGCUGUUUUUUUUAAGUCUUUUAUUUUUUGGGGGAAAAGAAUGUAUCGAAUUAUAAGGUUCGAAGCCGGAUGAUGACUUUCGCCGCUUAAUGAACGACAUGGCCGAGGGUUGUGUGGAACAGAUUUUUGGUUUUUUAAAAAGGGCAGUUGGGUAUAGGGUGAUAUUAACAGCCAUGACGACGACACCGCACGAAGGGUAGAAAGCCGGGAAAAUUGGAGAGGUCGAAAAUCUAAUAUUAUUAACGGGGCAAAGCCCUUUUUUGUUUUUCUUUUGAUGAUGAUGAUGGCAACACACAAACGUGUGUAGUGGGUACACUAUGCGCUUCAACUGAAACAAUCGACCACACUAGAGGCUGCUCAUCUCUGCAGCCGACCCCGGCAUUCUUCCCCCAGCUGAAUCAGACGAGAGAAGAAGAAGAAGAGUCUUUUCUGCACGCACACCCCACACAAUAUCGUGGAGCGAGCCUCCUCCGACGGGCAGACUACACUCAAAGCAAUUCAAAGAGUCAAACAUCGGGGUCAGCCGUGCGGUUCGUGGGAAAAUGAAAAAUCACAUUGCCAGCAGUCGCUGCCGCUCUUUUGCUUCUGCUCCACCACCACCACCACCACCACCACCUCGAGCGCCCACAAGAAGAUAGAAGGUGGUCGGUCGGUUGGUCGUCCUAUCUCCGCUACGCUCCAGUCGGUUCGCUCUUCUUCUUCUACUUUUCGGUGGAUUGUUUUGGUGAGUAGGUAGAAGGAGAAGAACCGAGGAGAGUCAGAGAGGAAGCCCAACACGCGGGGCUAUUGUCUUCGACGUAUAUAGAAAACAAACCCCGACGAGCUUUUCUAAAAAAGAAUUUUUAUGAAUAAAGAAAAAGGCCUCUGGUAAAAAGAAACAAAAAUGUGGAAUUUUCUCUUUUCGGGUUCUGCUCGUGAGGUCAACUAUAUCAAAGUUUUGUACGUUAGACGGAGUGCUGCGGUGUGAGUGUCUCUCCUCGUAUUUAUUUAUAGGGUGGAAGAGGUUAGCAAAAUACAAGAGCAGCGGGUUACUACUCGGAAAAAAUAUGCGGAGAUGAAAGCUUGUUGUUCCCCUUCUUGUCGAUUUAAUAGAUCUAAUCGGAAACCAUCUUUGACCUCCCAAGACGAACGGGGCGAUGUGUGACCACACGAUCUUCCCCACUCUCUCUCUCUGUCGUACUCCCGACCUUUUAUUAUUUUCUUCAGGCAGUCACGUGUGUGUCUUUCUGUGAGGAACUUUUGAGAGCUUUAUUUUGUCGUUUCCUCUUCCAACUGUCACAACACACCAGUCGUUACGACGUCUAGGGUUUUUCGCCGUUACUUUCUCUCAACUCCUUUUGAUUACCGCGACGAUUUGAUUGGACGUGACGAGGCGGAACAUAUUCGCCCCACCAUUUUCCUUUCCGUUUUUCUGACCGCGGACAAAAUACAAGAAUUUCACAAAGCAAAUAAUAAUCAUUUUUUUUUACUUCUUUUCUUUCUUUCCUUCUUUACGGCCCCCGUACCCAUCAUUAAAAUAAAAACGAAAGGGACAGCGCGCGGUAGCACAAAUCUAUUUGACAAGUAGCGGGAUAUGGAAUCAAAAUGAAAUGAUAAUAUAAUAACGAGUCGUAACAACCAGAAUAAAGGGCGACUCGGUUCCGGGGAAAUUUGAAGCGACAAAUAAAAACGACGCGGUUCCACUUUUUUUUAAUUUUUUUUAGGGAAAGACAUUAAAAGUCAAAAUAUGGGGGCUAAAAGGCUCGAGCAAGAAAAGGAAGCGCGCUCCAGAGUACUGUAUAAGAUCUAUAAAAACUCGGAAGGUAUUACGUUCCAUUUUGAUUUUGACAUUUCUCAGAUCCUCUUUUUUUUCCUUUUCUUUUCUUGUUUCUUAUUUUAUAAUGGGAAGCGCACAUGUAUAUCAUUCCCCCAUCAACCCUCUCGACUGUGCAGUCCUUAAAUAUUUAUGUACUGAUGGCAAUUCGUUUCAAAGGAAAUACGAACAUCAAAAAGAUAUUCGUUGUGUCGUUGCUUUUUUUUUCUCGGUCGCUGGGCUCGCGGUGCUAAAACUGGGAGGAACGCGGGAGGAUUGCGCAUCACGCAAAAGCGUAUCUAGGCAUCGGCAACUGUUUUCUACGGUCUUGGUGGCACAUUGAAAUGCGUGCGUGUGCUGGAUUCGAGGGGAAAAAACACAAACCCAAAAACACACCGGACGCGAGAAAUUGAGAUUUAUAUUAUUUAUACGCAUAUGGCGUAUGUAGAGGUCUAUACACGCAGCAGGAGUAGCUAAGUUGGACGGUAUUCCGCUUGAUGCUUUAUAGCAAAUAUUCUUUACAGUUACGUCCAAGUUAUUACAUAUUUUUUUCUAAGAAAAAAGAAAAAUAGGAGAACGUUUUUCUUACAGGGGGUUGAUGGGAGGGUCAGGUCAUUGAAGACUCGAAACAAAAGAAACGAAGGAAAGUACUAUUAAAUGCGUGUAGGUACGUAUGUGCAGUUUAAAAUAUAAUAGGUAAUAUAAGACGGGCAGUAAAUAUAAUAUGGACCAAAAACCCUAUAGCUAUACACAGAGUCUGGGCUACAGGGAACCCCUCUCGUGAGUGAGCGUGCAGACUUGUAUUUUUUUUUCCCUUCAUAUUUCUGGGUGUUGUUAUUUCGUAACCCAUCCACCCCACCUUAUUCUUUUGUUGUUGUCCUCGACUUCUUAAAUCGUAAAAACCAAAUCUUUUCGCAUCACGCACGACGACAAAAAUGAAAAAUUGUCUUCAAAACGGACCCCGAAAACAAAAGGAAAUCACACCGCAAAAUCCCCUUUUACAGGAAUAAAAAGCGACUUUCCAACCAUAUAACAGCUGUGUAGCUAGCUGCUAGCUGUAUACGCGUGUGUGUGUCUAUAGAGGGAGAUAAGCACCUUAUAUACGCAACAUGCGGAGUACAUAAUACUUUGCAUGCGGCAGUGCCCGCACAAACACGCAAAGACCCACCGGUAAGGUGCGCACACAGAAACGUUGGAUCCAAACAACAGCGUGAAGCUUUUUGUUUCGUUUCGAUUAGAUUUUAGAAGGGAAACCCCAACGCUGACUACAUCAAAAAUUAAAAACACCCCCCAAAAAACACCCAAAAAAGCCGUUCUUCUUCUUAUUCUUUCCUUUUCGGUCUCGAUCUUCUUGACAAGCGCAACCUUUUAAUAGGUCCCACCGCAAUCUCGAAAGCGAGAAGCGCAGAAUGUGUCCCAUAUUUUUUUGUUUUUGUAUUUUCUGUUUAUAUGCGCGACGACCCUUGUAGCUGCUGCAUGCUGCCCCUCAUUUCCAGUAUAGCGCUCACGCAUGGAUGUGUAUAAUUCCGAAAUGAAGAACCCAAGAAUGGAUGGGAACUCUGCCGGUCUUUGGCAGGCAGACAAGACACACACACACACAUACUCCUUAUAUCCCGCCGUCUUUCUGGCGUCUCUCUCUCUCUCUCUCUCUCUCGCUAUAGACAUCCCCAAAAGUGUUUGAAUACAAAAAAUAACCCACCCGAGAGAGAAACUCAAAGAAAAAAAGUAUAAAUAAGAAGGGCCGAGGCGUGCCUAAUGAAUUUGAUAAUGUAAUAAUGGUGGCUAUUGUUAUUACGUGCCGAGCUAAUGAGAAAGAAGAAGAGAGAAAAGGGGGGGAGGACUCUUACGGUCUAUAUGCUCCUUGUUCACGGCAUGGCGAUGGCGAGGAUUCUACGAUCGUUGUUGGCAGCGGCGUAUAAUAACGAACGCUCACACAAGCACAGAUUCCACGUGUCUUCUGGCGAAGUGGAAGGGUGGUUGGGUGGGGGUGGGGAACCAAGUCUAACUUGCAGCAUAUAUAUAGCAAGUACUAUUACAGCAUUCUUUUGAUGUUGGGCGACCCCUAUGCGCAUCCUUGGGAUGUGGAUUGUUGUUAUGACGCUGUAUACUAGUGUACAGAUGUUUAUUGGGAUAGGGUGAAGAAUUUCUUGUCUAAUUUUAGGUCCUCAACUUUUCGGCUUGUUGUUAUACACCAGGAUGUCGUAUAAUUUGCGCUUUAAAACUCGAGAGGACGCGACAACGACGACCCAGAGGUUUAUCAUACGAAGAGUUGUUGUAUUAUACGUAUACGUGUAUACGUCUACCCGGAGGUUCCGCUGUUGAAGAGGAAAAGGCUUGAGCGCAUAAUAUUAUUAUCUGGGAAAUGAACAGAGGAGGAAGAAACUAAAAAAAAAAAAUCUAAAGUUCCUUAAUGAAUUCAACUUUGUUUAGGGAGUUGCAAAGGCCGGAAGAAUCCGACAUUUGAUUCAGUUUGAAGGGUUAGUUCACUUCCUGACGGGAUGGAGUGUGCCGAAAGUUUUUUAGAGAACAUUUUUCUGCCUCUGUGAUGUUGUUGAAUAUAUUGAACAAAUUGUAUUUUAUUUAUUUUUUAAAGUGGCAAUGACUUCAUUAUAGACACUCUCUCCUCUCUCUCUCUCUCUCUAUUACGCUACCACUAAAAGGAGAGGGGGGGGGGGACUUGAAAGUUGCAAGCGGCGGCCUUCUCUUUUGAUUAACGUCCUGAAACGUUAUGUCGUUCAUUGCCCAUUUCCGUCUCUCUCUCCCUUUGGAAAAAAAUAUGAUAAAUUGCUUAUACAACAUUCUCGAUUUGAAAUACACUUUUGAUUAAGUGCAAUUUGGGAUUCUGUUUGAAUCUCCAUCGAUCCAUCUUUUUGAAUUUUUUAAAGGGAAAAAACAAAAACAAAAAAAAAUUCGUUCGUCUGAAACGAAUUGCACACGGCAGCCAGAAAAACUACUCGGUCGUAAAAUGUUAUCGUCCAACUGGAGGAUAUAGACAAGAGAUGACGAUAAUGAGCCUUGCAAAAUCAAAGAGUUAUCUGCGAUGAGCAUAAUAACGAAAUGGUUGUUAAAAGCUGCUCCGUGUGUUGGUACUACUAUACUCUUUUAUAUAUAUAUUUUUUCCCCCUCCUGGUCCCGAGUUCUUUUUAUGGAGACAAUUUUCAUUUUCACAUCCACACGGCGCUCCUCCUUUUUCUUCUUUUUUUUUUAUUUGUGUUAACUUUUUGUAUUAGUUUUGUUUCGUAUUCUUGUUUUUUGUUGUUGUUGUUGUCUUCCGUCGGAUCCCCCCCUUCUCUCUUUGGAACGAGAAACAACUCCCGGUGUUGUCGUUUAUUGUAUCGUGAAUUCGUGAUGCUCGCUGAUGCUCACUCAUUCACGGAGCCGCGCGCACUCACCUUUUCAUCUUUCUUCCAGUUCUUUUUUUAUUCCACCACGAAAAUUGCUUUUCUUUUUUCGUUUCUUUUUUUAUAUACGUUCUCCUCCUCCUUCCUUCCCCCUGUUGUUAUUAUUCCUUUCUGAAAUGACAUUAAACUUCGUGUUUAAUGGCAUUUCCCUCCAUCCAUCCCACCCAUCUCGAAAGAUAUGAGGAGAGCGGAGACAAUGAGGGAGACUUGUGAGCAAAAGGGAUGGUGAUGCCGAAAUGAGACCUAUACUUUACUCUUAUAGUCUAAUAUAGUGGUGGAGUACAUUAAAGCCUUUAUUCAGCCGGAAGUUAGUCGAAUUAUCUCCUCUUUUGUUUUCCUUUCUUUUUUUAUUAUUAUUAUUAUUAUUUCUAACGAACGUUAACAAAGUUUUCAAGAUUUCUCCGAGCCUGUCGGAUGAGAUCGUUGAUGCUAUGGUCUUUGUAAAUAAAUAGUCAGUACCAAGAAAAUGGGGAAUAAUAGGUGAACUUUUAGGGGAACGAAAUAUUACAUCAAGAAGAAUUCGGUCGGUGUGGUAGAUAUAUACCAGUCGCGUUUUGGAUUAGACAUACCGCCGGGCCGGGCGGCCACGCAUUCCGCAGCUUUUUUGGGGAUCUUCCAUGGGGUUGAAAAAAGAAGAAAAAAAGACGAGACGAGACGGUUUCGAGAUUUAUGUGCAUUUUCAAACUCAGCGAUAAAAGGAAAAUGAAGAAGAAAAAACAACAUAGAGAUUUUCAACAGCCCAAAACUAUGAAAAGAAGAACUCCAAAGUUAGCUAUUUAUUGUAAAUAUAGCUAUAAGGAUAUACUAUAGUAGUGGUAGUGGUAGUAUGUGGUCCGCGCUCAGUUGGGUCAAAGAAAUUUCUCCCUCGUCGUCCUUAUGUAGAUAUUCCUCUCGUCGUUUCGAUUCUUGAACCUGAACGGCCCGAAGCUGAGAGAUUUUUCUAUACAACAUUUUUUCAAAUUUUUUUCUCCCCUUUUCCUCUCUCUAGCUGCUGCCCCUGUAUAAUCGUUGAGAUGAUCUAUUUGAAGAAAAAUAAGGAGAAGAGACAGCGCGGAUAAAAAUUUUUUUUUUUUUCCUUUUCAAAAGGGAAGAUGAAGUAGAGGCCAAGGGAGAGAGAGAGAGAGAGAGGGGGAAAAAAAAAUAACACCGAACGUCGUGGAGGAGCCUCACAAUGGUGGUUAAUUGCUUGCAUUAUAUAUUAUAAAAAUGUGUGGUAUUAUUUAUAGGCGUCGUGACGGGCCGGGCGCGCUGGGCUGCGUUACGGCAAGUUGGAGACACUUCUCUCCUCUUUCACACCAUUUUCCGUGUCAAAGUAUUUGACACGUCCCCGCUAUAGGGUAUUAGGUAGUACGAGAGAGGAGAGAGAGGACUACACGAAAGUUACGAAAGGAGAAGAAGAAGAAACUUUUUCUUUUCUUUCCUCUUGGCCGCUCCUAUAUGUAUGUUGUAUUAUAUUAUAUAUAUUCUCACCCUGUUUCCAUCAUGGCUCCGGGCUCCUGCCGGCUAAUUAGCUAAUCCGCCCCACCCAUCGUAUUUUUUCUUUCCUUACAUGCAUACAUAAAUUCGAGAGAGAAAAAUGAAAUCUAAUAAACUAAAAUAAAAUAAAGAUAAAGCAGCGAAAAUGCGUGUCGGCAAGCCGUUGGUUGGAAGAGCCAAAAGUCGUAUAAGGACCGAUUUAUUUCAAUACAUUUGUAUAUAUUUGUACAGAGGAGGAGGAGGAAGAGAACGUGGUGGUGUGUAUAGCCUCGGCUGCGAUCAGCUGUUAUUUCUUUUUAUUUUCAUUUUUUUUUUCUCUCUCUCUCUCUCUCUCUUUUACCCGCAAUGUUUUUUCCAUCAUCCUGUUGAGAGUUUUUCUUCGUCUCAUGUUGGGACUUUCGGGGGGUCGGAGCGAUACCCGAGACACAGCGGAGAGCGGUAACUCACGGAGCGGAGAAAGAGCGUGACUUCCUAUACCUCUUAUAAACACUCCGCCAUCCGCAACGGGAGAAGAUAGAUCAUAAGAUAGACUGCUAUAUAUAUAUAUAUAUAAUAUCCUCUAUGCUGUGAUCCUCCCUCUCUCCGAUGUCUGUUAUUCUCGACUCACGUGACCUUUGAUCGUUUUUUCUUCUUUUCUUCUUAGUUGAUUCUUCUUCUUUUUUUUCUCUUUUCGGCGUAGGUAAAAUAAAAAUAAAGUGGAAUAUGGGUCGUCGCCCCGAUCAACAAACUCAAGAGUCGUUGCUAGGAAUGUCAGGAAAUAGAAAUAAGAACAAGUCUCUGGGGCCGCAUAUAUAUAGUAAAGAUCUCAAAAGUCUUUUCGCAACAUGAGCGCAUUACUUCCAAGUUCCAACUUUGGCUGUUGCUUUUUUUUUUGCGGCAGAGCGGGAACAACUUUUUCUUUUCCGCAACAUUGUAAAAAAAGAGAAAAAGGGAGAAUAAAGAAUGAGAAAAGUCUGGUGCAUAAAUCAGUUUGAAGGUGUGCGAUGGCUCGAGUCCGCGUAGUACAUCGCCCGAGACUUUUUCAACUUUAUACUUUUCUCGAGGUUUUUUUUUUUUAUUUCGCCUUCGUUUGGGAUGUUAUCGCUACAUAGCUCGUUUUUUUUUUCAAACCUCUCGCUUCUUUCUUUUUUUUCUCGUCUUGAUGAUAAAUGAAAACUUUUUAGGUUCAUCGUCACUUUUAUCCGUUCCGACUUGCUGGUCUUGGCCUUGCGCCAGUUUUAUAACUGUAAUAAUCAUCGGCUUGAUAUUCCAUCAUCCAUCAGCAUACAUAAAGUCUAGACCCCAAUAACGAAUGUGUGUAUAUAUAAGAGAACGUCGAUGUUCGAAAAAAGAAAGAAAUUAAAAACAACCAACAAAACAAACAAGAAAUCACAGAGUGGAAUAAUGGCUCUACUAUGCGAUGAUAUAUUAGAUAGAUAUGGAUAUGAAUGUGCUGGUUCGUAUCUACACAACAAUAACUAAAGCAAUAGAUGGGGCAUAACUUGUUACCAUCUAUUUUACGACGUGACCGCACCAAUCUGACCAAUUUCGGCUCUGGCAAGUUGCGUCGUUAACUAAGGAAGAAGAAGAAAAAAAAGGAUGGAGGUACGACGGCGAGCCGAAACUUUGUUGGCGCUCUUGUAUAAUAAUAUAGUCUCUAUAGAUUUGACUGCGAUGGCUAUGUAACGCGCAUUUUCGAACUUGUCAGACACGAUGCGGGUCUCUCCUCUUUAGGGAAAUAUCAUAAGUUAUAUUACUAUAUACGUAUAGACUGCCAACGAGUGUUUGGAAUAUCUUUGGGAAAUAUCUAUCUGUAUUGGUGAUAAAUUCGCUGCGGGUCAACGUGACUGGCCGGCCAUCCCCGCGUCUUGUCCUCGUGUAAGUUGCCUUUCACGACCGUUCUUUUGCCCGAUGCUCAUCUCUCUUACACGGACCUAAAAAGGGGAGACCAGAGAGUCGCACAAAUACCCUUUGGGUCUGUUGUGUGUGUGUGUGUGUGUGUGUUUUGAGAGAAUUGGCGUUUCGAUUUCAUACACAUCCGACAACAACCGACGGGGGAGGUUUGAUUUACAUUAAAUUCGGUUGUUUUUUUCUUUGAAUUUUGUUUUCGAUUUCUUGGCUCCGUCCCGAUGCUACUGCCUUUGCUACUUGGCCCAACCGACUACUUUGCUGGUGGCGCCGACUGUUUCUCUGCUCACACAUGCGUAUGGCAUUAGAAAGCUUCACGGUCUAUGAAUUAUGCAAACACAACAACUCCCUCCCGUCUCUGAAACACACGCGGACACGAAGCGAGCCGGGCAGCAGCAGCAGCAGCAGCAACGAUACUCGGAGCGGUUAUAUAGCUAAGAGAGGGCCCCUCUCUCAAUAGCUGCGUGUGCACAUAUAAGGCUGGCUCACCGUUCGUCCAAGCGUGUGUACGUCUGUCUGUGUGUAAAGAGAGAGAAGAGAUACAGAUCAAUCAUCGUCGUCUUGACGUGCCGCGCAAGGUGGCCGUGUCCUGUAUUUUCGUUACAUAUCGUUAUACAUCUUCCUCGCCUCCACCCAUUCCCUUGGCAUUUAUAAGUUGAUGCUAAUGAAGGACAGAACGACCGAAAAACAGGAUAUAGCUGUAUGGUAGUAUAGAGCUGCUACUAGUAGAACCACGUUCGUAUAUAUGGCGCGAUCACGGCUCCUGAUAAAACCUCGUCUAUUCCGCUUCUCUCCCUUUCUCUCUCUCUCUCUCUUCUCUUUUUGAUUUAUAUGCUAUUAUCUUAAUUGCAUCGCCAGCUGAUAUAACGGAGCUCCUAUGCAGCAAUUGUGCUGUGGAGAAAACGACCGCAAAUCCUUGUGGCCCUGCUCUCUGCCCAAACGAAUUUAAGGAAAAAUAAAUAAAAGAACCAAAAAGCUGUGCUUGAUCACUUCGCUGAAUACCGAGAAGAGAAACAAAACUGUCAAGGACAAUACGGUUUAUUUGGAAGAGGAAAAAAAUAAUGACGUUGACGUCGGUUGACGUCAGCAAAUGUUUUGUACAUCCGUGUGUACCUAUGGUGAAUAUAGUUAAAAGCCUGAAAGAGUGUAUGUACAAGAAAUAGGCAGCACGGAUGUGGAAUGGAUGAUGGCCGCUCUCCUUUCAAUGGCGAAAUCCUUGAAGAGUUACGACAGCGAGCUGCCAAAGAAGAUAUACCGGGAAACUUGCUGGGGCCAACCACCAGCAAUUGUACAACACGGCCCAAAUUGUUUCGUGAUUAAUCAAAUCCACGCGAGACGGCAGCGGCGGCCAAGCCCAUCAUUCUGUGCAGUUGAGUAAACUAUAAGUUGCAGCAGUGGCAUCAUCAUCCGCAUAAGAAUAUUCACUACACCGAGUCAAGAAUUUGGUUAUACCAAGGUACAUAUCUAUAUACGUAUACAACAUUUCGGGUAUUGUGUAGUCCCUUGAUAGUGAAUAGCCGAAGAGUUGUUAUUGCGAACCCUGUUUUCGGUUGUUGUGACGGCCACCAGGCAUUGUUGUUGUUGUUAUCCAGCGUGCGGAUGCUCAAAAGGACGUCUUGAAAGUUAUUUCUCUCGUCUCUCUCUCCUUGCCAUUCUUCUCGAGCUGAAGACAAUUACGAUCCGACUUUGGCGGUGGAUGCCAUAGCUCAUGCUCGAUUAUGCAUGCAUAACGCAAGAUCUUGUGCAACAACUUCCCGAAAAAAAAAACUCUUGGCGCUCAACUCCGUGGCCCAGCUGCACGGUACAACCCCCCUCGUUUCUUCUUUUUUUUUAAAUCUUUUUUUUUUUGGGUAUUAUUUAUUUAUUUAUUUUUUCUUUUCUUUAGCGCAUGCUUGAAAUGAUUAGCGUUUUGAAUUAUACUUCACGAUUUCAAUAGGAGAGAGCCGGUCUGCAUGGCCCCGUUAUAGAAAGAGCGUGCUGCCAUAGCUCGUCGUCCUCGGGAGUCUUCCAUCUUUUCUUGUCGUGAUGUCUUCCCUUUGGUCCGUCGAUUCAAUUUUUUUUUACCUUCCCCAUUUCGGCUGGAUGGCGACUGCCGACCUUAAAUCUCUCGUCGUCUACAUGCUGAACUGCGUCACUUUGGCUUUUUCCUUAAAUGAAAAUCGUCAGAGAGGCAAGUUAAAGGACGACUGUCCUGCGACUGUUAACCCGCUGAACUUAAAAACUUACAAAGUCAGCAUCAAUUUAUAGCCAACCGCCCGGAAUCCCGAUGAGAAGUGCCACUCUCUGUGGGCUGGCUAGACGUAGAGACCUAUACAUGUAAUACUAGCACUCUGCGACCCAACCGACUCGACCCCCAUUCACAGCCGCCGCGUCAUUCCAUCACAAGCGCCGUGAUUUAUACGGAGUAAGCAAUCGUGACCAAAGAGAAUGAAAAGAGUCGAUGGUUGUCGGCGUAUUCCAUCCCAUGUGGCUGGACUAUUUUAUAUAACGUCCUCCGCUUGUUUUAUUUUUAUUUUUUUAUAUUAAUUGUGUUACACAAUUUUUUUAUCUUUUACGUUUGGUUUUCAGCCUUAUUAAUUCCUUUAUCUUAUUGUGUGCACACCGGGGCCGUGUAUAUUUGUGUAGGAUAUAAUCUCUCGCUCGCUAUCGUCCCUCGAUGUUUUUUGGAUUUCGUUCGAUGCUGUCUCGCCCUUUUCCGCCUCCUGAGUCCUGAAUAUUUGACUUGUGAUACAAUUUACGAUCUCGGCGCUCCUUGUUGAAAGAAAGAUGUCCUUUGAUUGGGAAAUUUGGAUUUCAACACAAACUCAAAAGACGUGAAGAAUUUUGUUUUCUUCUUACCAUCCCCCUCCCCCUCACCGCUAAAUAACUGAAACGGGAACAGGACGGGGAGGACUCCUUGAAAGAUUGGACUGAUUAGCUCCGUUCCGUUCCCUUGGUAGUUGUGUAAUAAUAAAUAUGCCUGAAUGCAGAAUGCCAUGCAGCAGCGAGCGCAGUUCAUCAGAAAUAACGAAGGGGAAAUCUAUAAAUCUCUGAUGAUGAUGCUCGCGUAUGGCGUUGCGUAACAGAAAAACACACUUUUCUAAAGAAACGAAAAUUGUUGGAAAGGGGAGAAAAAAAAAGUUGCCGAGUGAUGGAUGGAACCCUUACGGUUUAGUAAAAAAAAAAAAAAAAAAAAAAUAAGAAAAUGGGAGGCACAGCUCGCAGCCUUUUGUGUGUGUGUGUGUUAACGGGAUGAAUUAUUCCGCGUACUACAGCCGAGCCGAGCAGUGAAAAUUGCUCUCCUUUUGUCUCUUUGCGGUGGAGACUUUUUUUUUCUUUCUUCGCUAUUGAGGAAGAAGAAUGUCUAAGUCGAUGUGGAGUAUACAUAAGAGAAAGAGAGCCAUUACUACCAUUUUGGGACGACGGCGAUGAAUGCUUCUUCGCCACUGCUAAGCUCCUUACAUAAUAUAGUGUCUCGAGCGUUAGUGUUCAUAUAUCUGUGUCAUCAGCCCCCUUCUCACUGCUCUAUAAGCACAGCAAGUGUGUGGAAUGGGGGUCGUGCUCAUCCCGCGUAUCUCCCGCACAAGACAACAACAACCAAAACGAACCAAAAAAAAAAAAACAAAAAAACAUAAAAACAAUCUAAGCUGAAAAAAUGCAGUCCGCAACUCAUCAUCAUCACAUCGCCGUCGAUGAUUUUUUCGUGUGAGUUUGUGGAGCGGCGUAUACUACAUCUAACAAUCGCAGAGUGUAUACAAGACACGGACAGAACAAAAAAAAAAUGGAGCCGUUAUUAUUUAGCCGAAGAAGGAACAGGGAGGAGGUUUCGGUCGUUUUAACAGAACGACGCAGCAGUCCGACCCGGUAAUGCGUUCGGCCGCACUUGUCGGCAAAAUGCCCCAGAGAAAUAGGAAAACCGAAUUUACAUAUAGACUUUUUGCCAUCAGGGGAGGACCGGAGCAAUGUCGGGGGAUUGACAGGAGAAGAGGGAAUCUCCCGUAUAGUAUGUAUACAGCAGAGCUCUUUGAAGAAAAAAAAAACACACGCUUGGUUAACCGAGGGCGAAAUGACACAGUGGUUUGCCAUAGUCGUCUUUUUUUUUCUCUCCCGUUAGUGCGGCAUUGCAAGGAAGGGGGUGUAUAGUAUACGUUCCGGCUGGAUGGAAUAAAAGACAAAAAAAAAAGACAGUUUGGAGGUGUGUAAAACUCGUGUAAAAAGAUUUCCCCCCGCUUUUCUUUUUCUUUUAAAAAUGAAUGAAGAAAGAUAAAGCAGUUUUGGCAAAGGGCGGAGUGUUACGGCGUUGGUCCGUUACGGAUACGUCCGGAUGCCGAACGAUUUGUGAUUGAAACGAAUCUGUUGGCGCCGUGUCCGUUGUUUGAAUUUCAACUAUUUGAGCGGACGUGAAACCAAAUCAUUGCGAGAGAGGCCGGAUAGUUUUUGAAAAGGGGCCUUCGCCUGGCCGUCCCGCUACAACACUCGACGCGUUUCAGAAAUCUCAUUCCCGCCGCACGCAGCCAACACGGCAGUGAAAAUAACAAACAAACGAAAAUAAAUACAAAUUUUCCCAAACAAAAAGAAAUGGUCGAAGUAAAAAGAAGAAGAAGAAGAAGAAGAAGAAGGAGGAGGAAAUGAAAGGAUAAAUGGAAACGCGCUGGGAUUGAUGACUGGAGAGUGAUUCAGUCGGGGCGGGCGCAGUCCGUGACGAACGGCCCGGGUUCUAUACACCCCCGGCGCGUUAUUUCUAAAUUUUAUUUUAUCUUAUUUAUUUUGUUAGUUUUUCUUUUUUUUUCUUUCCAAAAGAGAGUCACAGAGAGGAGCGGUAUAGGAGCCGAUGGGCUUGAGCGAUCGGUCGUGCAAAUGUCACAGCCGCUAGAGCAAGCACAUCGCGUGAGCUUGUUGUAUUGUACGAAUUACAACGACGCCAGGAAUUUGACGAUUACGACAACAACAACAACAACAUACACAAAAAAAGAAAUACAAAUAAUAAUGUAUAGCCAACUAAGGGUGAUGGUCAAUUUCUUUUUUUCGUUCUCCCUCCCGGUUUAUCUGUACACGUCGUGUGUAUCAUUUUGGAGCUCAAGUCGUGCGUGAAGCUCCGGGUCGUUUCACAUGUAAUGCCAAUACCAACAACAAACCCAAAUAAAAAAAAAAUAAAAAAAAAAAUCGUUCGGUCACAGAGUUUUCUUCUCGUUCGUUUGCCCAACACGAAUUCGAUUAGAUUAUUACGUCGUCUAUUAUGAUAGGACUAUUCCCAUUUUCUCUAUAUAUAGCUCUCUUAGCUCCGUCCUGUUUAGGAACCGCUGUCGGUCCGAGCCCCGCGUAUAGCCAUGGCGUAAUCUAAUUGCCUUUAAUUGACUUUUAUUCCUUCUUAUGUCGAGAACCACCUUUUCUGUGUUUUUGGAGCGGGGGGCUCCUCGUAAAAAAAGAACGAAAACAGCAACAUACAACGAAAAUGGGAGUGGAUCCAUCCAGUUUGGUCUCGGCGACUGUUAUAGCGCAAAGUGGAAAUUGCUCUCUUGUUUUUCGGGUUUAUUUAGUUGAUUUUUUUACGAGACGAUUAUCAAUCAGCUUUGAUUGAUAUUCACGAGUUAAUCUGCAGCUUGAAUUUCAACCACGAAAGGGUCGUUACGAUUAGCGUGUACGUUCAAUUGUCCAUUUGAGUUUUAUGAGACUCGAAGGAACAACUCUUUGCUCACAGAAAAUCGCCGUUAAACAAGCAAACGAAAUGAGAGAGAGAGGAACGAAAAAAAGAGCUCGUGGAGGAGCUUAAAGUCGUCCGACCGCGUUUCUUUUUCUUCGCACUCGAAGAAUGAAAAUGAAAUAAAUAGAAAAGAAACUAGAAGGAAAAAAAUAAAAUAAAAUAGUCGGCGGGAUUGAAUAAGGCAUUGAUGAUGAGCGCCGGCCAAAAGAAGAAAAAAAGGAAAAGGGAAAACUAACAAAAGAGAUUUUUCCCCUUUUUUCUUCUUAUUCUUCUUCGUCUGAACUCAUCCAACGCUGUUCACUCUGGCGGAUCGUGAGGAUCAGCUGUCGCUAGGCAUUUUGAUUCACUAUACCACGUCACCAAAGUUCUUCCUCUCUCAUAGAAAGUGAAUAAAAACGAGCCUCACAGAGAUGUCAUUGGCUUGCGCCACAUUCGAGAUGCAACUCGUGUUUCUCCUCUUCUAACCGUUGAUCCCCUCCUGUCCACUAGAGAGAGAGAAAGAAAAUAACAACACACCAACAACAAAACAACAAACUUUUUUUUUUUUUUCUAGCCGUCUUCUAUUACUAUACGAAUGGAAGAUGGAAGACGCGCCUGGAUGCCUCGCGGAUAAAAUGGAUUCCCGAUACAACAUUUAUUUUUCCUAUUUAUUUUGGUUAGAAGAUUUUUUUUUCUUUCUCUUGUUUCUUUUUUUUCCAGUUCUCGUUGUUGUGAUUGUCGUGUUUUGAAGCGAUCGUGAUGUGCGUGAAGGUGCGUGACUGAGAUGCGUGCGACAGCCAGCAGAUCGCGCGCGCGAAAGACGCCCCUGAAAGUCGCCCAAAUCGACUUGGAAAUUGAAUCGGAAAGAAGAAAACAAAAAUCGACUAUGACGUUGCAAUUUCUCUUGCGAAAAUCAAAGAAAAAAGAAUUCUAAAAUUGAACCGCACAUUUUCCGCAUUUUUUUUAAUUUGCGGUUGAGGGUUUUUUUUUCUUCUUAACUUGACUCUCACUCGCCAUUUGUUUGACAAUUGCUCGGCGAUCCGGCCGAGUUGGCUGCUGGCUGGCUGCUGCCGUCAAUGUCGUCGCUCUUGUUUUGGUUUUUUUCUUUCGACUCGCUUUUCCGUCUCGGUCUUCGGUUAUUUUCCUCCUUUCUCCUUGAUCUGUCGUCGUGAACUCGUCAGACUUGCAAAGGAGAGAAAAGGAGAGUCUGAACGGCGACACACAAAAAACGAUACGAACCCAGUGGCUCUUUCCGCUUGUUAUACCGGCGCUUUAACGUGUCGGCUGUCGUGAAGGGAAGACAGACUAUGUCGUCUGUCUCCCAUCUCUCUCUCUCUCUCUCUCAGGAAUCUUAUCUUAUCUCGUUUUAUACCUCUAAAGAUACAUCACAACACACACAAGGACGAGGAAAAAGACAAAAAAGACCCAAAAACUUUCCGGGUCGUUUUGUCUCGCGGGCCAAAGAGCUCGAAAUACAUUGACUCAUCUCCUUGUUUACGAUCUAUCCUGCGCUAUAUAAUAGCUGCUGCUACCGCAUCUGCAGGGCGCGUAUCAAUCCGUGCGUCUCUCUCCAGCCAACGCCAAGGUAUUAUAAACCUGUGUAAGAAAUCAUCGUCUCUUUUGGCAUUUUCCAAACACGCGUCUGCGUCUAUAAUCUUGUGAAAAUUCCGUCAUGUCGACAGACGGGAAAGAGCAGAUGGGGGAAAAGAAACGGCAGACAGCCGAGCUGCUCUUGUAUAAGAAAAAUCAAACGACGGACGAAGCGUUCCUACAAGAGGCAAGACGAAAUAAUCAUUUUAAUUGAGGUUUUUCGUUAUGGACAAAGUAGCGCAACGAGUUCGUCUCUUAUAUUAUCCUCCUUCCGCUGCUGCUGGUCCAAGCAGAUUAUUUCCCGCCCGGUAGAUAUUUAGACGCGAAUAAGAAAUGCUUUCCGUGAAUCAAACAUUAUUCACUUGAAGUUUUCCGUUUAUAUAAUACGGCACGACUAUAGGAGAACCAGUUCUGAGGGACUCAAAAAUCGCCGGGGCGCUGCUGCCCUGAUGAUGGCGACUCGAAAUGAAAUAAGAAGGCCGUGAAAAAGCAAUUUGGUCGUCGUCGUUUUCACAUUGGCUUACACGUGCUGACGUUUUUCUCUUCUUCUUCCACAUCCAGCACUUUUGUGGACGCGCUGUUGCUCCCCGCGUCACUGGACGCGCGCAAUCCACGUCCACCGAAACGGAAAGUUUCGCCGCUUGCAUCACUCACGCCACGUAUCAAUAUUGAUUGUUGCGUGGCCUUCUUUUCUCUCUCUCUCUCUUGUUUGUUAUCUUCUCUCUAACGUCUUUCCUUCUCUUUUCCCGUCAUAUCCACACAGAGAAAGGGGGAAGAAGAAAAAAAAAGCGGAUGCGAGAAGGGAAAAUCCAUUCCGGGCGGCCGGCACGGAUUUGCUGUCGCUGCUGUUACCGCAAAACGUUAGUGCUGAACAAGCAAUAAAAGAAGAAGGGGGGAAAGAAUACGAAGAAGAAGAGAAAGAAAGAAAAAGGAACAAAACAAAAUAAAAAAAAUGGGACACAAACGGACGGGCGGACGGACGGGCGCGGACACACGAAUGUGGAAGGGGAGGGUGUAGCGGUAUGUAUAGUAGCCCGCGUGCAUGUUCUCUCCUCUGUCCGGCGUUGGUAGGAGAGAGGAUGAUGCAUGGCGCGCCCCAUUCCCAACUUUGAAUGAUACGGUGACAUGAAAGAGCUGUGACCGUCCGGCCGUCCAUCCAUCCAGUCUCCAUCCACCGUGUAGUGUGCCCGUAUAUAGUGGCUGCUACUACAAACUCUAUCAGAGAGGAAAUAUUACAUAAGCCUUGGGCCCGUCGCUAGGGUCGCCCUAAAUGCGUUGAAUAAGGAGGACGUGCCGCUCGCCUGUGGUAGCAGCUGACAAACACUCGCAGGCCCGGCACGACCGCACGGGCAAAGAAAAGAAGGAGAGAGAGAGAGAGAAAAAAAAAAGAUAUAUAUAUAUAAAUAAAUAUUAUAAGAAGGAAAAAAGAAAAGAGACAUGUUCUACCACUCUAUUCCAUUUCUGUGAUGUGGCUGCUGUUAUAGGUUGGAGCCGUUCUGACGCUCGGCUCUUUCUCAAUAUUUAUAUACGUACACAUGACAUGGGCAUCGACCCGAUCCAGCCAAUCUCGCAUUCCAUUCCGUAUAGGAAAAAAAGUUUUUUUCUUUUUUUUUUCGGUUGGUCCUAUACUCCCCUCUGUGUGUGUCUUGAGAUUGACUUGAUUCAACCCCUAAUCGAUCGAGUCAAUAAUGCCGACGACGACGACGACGACUAGGAAUGGUCGAUGAGUUCGGUGACCCAUUAUUCCUAUGUCGCCCGUCUUUCGAGUUCUCAACAAGAGCUGAACAAUUGACGCAUUCAGUGAGUGCUGUGUGUAUAUACGUUAGGUGCGGCUAUACUGUAUUCCUUGCCAUGUCACCCUGAGUACAUAGAAAUACAAAGUCUGUAAUGCACUACAUAGCAACAGAAGGCCGCCGAAAGUCAUCAGCUAAAAUAUAAAUGAAGACGCCGAGUCGGCUGGUGUGGAAAACUACUAUACGAUACACAACUCUUAUACUUAUACCGACCCACUCUGUAUGAAAAGGAAGGGCCGAUGUCGAUAUCUAAUUCAGUAUAACAUCAAAAAUGGAGUGGCAAAUCGUAAGAGGUACUUGUGCGAGCCAAAUUCUUUUUGCGUGAAUUGAGGGGGGGGGGUAGUGCCAUUUAAAUUCUGAUACUGUGGGCUGGAAUUUCUAUACGGUUCGUGGUUGGAAACGUAGAGCCUGGCCAUCACUCUAAAACAAUGAUGGAUCGAUGCUAUAAGAGAAGGAAAAAUAAAGAGAACUUUCCAAUAUAUGUAUUGCUAUCUGGUAGUUGCACAGCAGUGGGUCCCAUAAGUACACUAUGCGUACCAUAUAGUGUCUGUUUAUUUAAUAAAUGAGACGGUGUCAUGAAUUUUACAAGAUGGAACAAAACAAAAAUCUGAAAAGAAACGAAGAAAAUAGAGAUGGUGCAAUAAGCGACAAGAACAAGUUGAGAUGGGUAUAUAUAAGGAAAAUAAUCGAAAAAGAUGAAAAAUCGAGUUAUUUCGAAAUGGCUGUAACUAUUGCCGUAUCUCUCCGGCAUUCUAUUUCGAUAUUUAUAAUGAUAUAAUGAUUUUCAUUUUCUAGGAUUUUUUUUUUCUCUCGUUGUUGUUUUACUUCGUUUAAUUUGAUUUCCUUUUCCAACACAUACUGUAGUUUUUUUUCACGACUCUCUCUCUCUCUCUUCUUCUCUAACCUGAGCCGGUGAUUAGAAAAGAAUGAGAAAAGAAGUGGGAAGCGCAUCACGGGGCGUACUGUUUUUCUUUACUCCUUCAACUUGAUUCUUUUUUGUUUGGUUGUUUUUCUCUCUAUUUUUUUCUUCGAAGCUUUUUGUAUUUGGUUGUUGGGACGUCCGCUCGGCUUCUAUGUGUGUGUGUGUAAGCGUUAAUUCAUUGUAAUUUAUGAGCGAAAAAGAAAAUAGAGGCCAUGAUGAGCACCACAGCCUGUAGUACUAGACACACACACACAUGAUUGGUGUCGGGAGUCGAAAUCAGAAACGUAUAGAACCUGGGCUGUCUGCUCUUCCUCCCCCUUAACGGCGUCGAACCCGAUGAUGUUUGUGAUUUGGGCUCCCAAAUUAUAGAGGUACGGUCUCGAGUAUGCCGGUUCUCGUUCUACUGCAUGGGCUCUAUAGAGUAGUACGUACAUGUAGAGGAAUCUUUAUCUACACUGCACGCUCUCUCCCAACCAGUGCACACUCAACACACGAGGAUAUGGUCGUCAGCUCCUGACACAUCCGUGGCUAUGGGCCGCCGCUAUAGGGUUUUUUUUAUGUUUUUUUUGUUUUUUGUUUUUAGACAUUAUGUCAUGUAAAAACUAUCGUGCUGCAUCCCGAUUUCUCUCUCAUUCUCUCAUUUCGCUCUGGAAAAUGAAACGUUAUUCGGUAUAGAUAUAUAAUGCUGGUGUAUAUACAGACACGCAACUGCGAUCUGCUCCGCUCCGUAGGUCUGUCGAUGGACGGAAGGAGGGAAGAAACAAAAAAACCCCAAAAAUAAUACGAACAACAACAGUAACACGACUGUAGCAUGUGCAGGAAGCGGAAAGGGUGUGUUCUUAAUGUGUACACACACAACUGCAAACCGAAAUUUCGAAAAAAAAAUAAUGUUUGAGAGAAAAAGAAGAAAUAACAAAUAAACAAAAAAAAACAUGUCGGAUUUUUUUAGAUAUAUAUACGUUCCAUGCAUAUGCGAGAGAGAUAAUAGCCACCUAUCUGAUCGUCACUCGGCAUGAUAUUUUUCUGCAACGCGUCUGCCGUGAUACGCCUACAACACACGUACACUACGUAUAGACCGGUUAUAAUAAUAUUGCCCGAGCUGAUGGCUGUUGGUGUCGUGAAUGGUGAGCUGCGACUAUAUAACUCGGCUCUCGCUGCUAUUUACAUGGAAAACGGACAUUAAACACUAUGGGGCGAAAAGAGGGAGGCCCUUCGCGAUAGAUCGGAAAAGAGAGAGAAAUACAAAGAGUCAUUAUUAUUAUGUAUACAUCAGCUACCGGUUUGUUUAGAGUUGCUAUAAAAAAAAGCUGGGCGCUGUGCUGUGUUGCGCUAUUUCUCCUGUUGUUUGUUUGAUUCACGCUCCGAGACUGUGCUGUGUGUAUUUGACACUUUAGAUUCGUUAUGUCGUCGAUUCGUUAUGUCGUCGAUUCGUUAUGUCGUCGUCCCAUGUUAUUUUUACAGAGAGACUGGGUCAUUUUUUUUAUCACUUUUCUACUUCAAAUUGUGUUCUUAUUGUUUCGACCGUUUCUUUAUACUACGUAUAUGGCGAUAUCAAUCAUCAAUAAAGUCGUUAUUGUUGCAAACGUUUGCUGCCAGCUCUCACCGCUUCCUUCCAGCCUAUCAUUAUUAUUAAGUAACACAUAAUAAUAACAAUAAUAGUAUAAAGAAAGAAGAAAAACCCGUUGACCGCAAAAGAUGGGGUUGAUGUAGUGUGAAUAACAAUCGAACCGUACACUUACAUUCACUAUUCAGAAAAUAUGGGCUACCGCCGCUGUUGCUGCAGUGUUUUGCUGACGUAUAUUUAUAUUCUUGGUUCGACGACACUCAAAAAUAGAAAAAAGAAAAAGAAAAUAGAUAUAAGAAGAUAAUAGUAUACAUCCCUUGUUCUUCGCUAUAUAUAGACACGGGCAUAUAGAUUAUAUAUAUACAAGUCCGUCCUUUUCACGGCCAUUUUGUUUCCUUUUAUCUCCCUUUUUUGGUUUGGAGAAAGAAAGAGAGAGAGAGGGUUGUCUCUUCUCGAUCGUAGAAGCGUAACGACUCUCCACCGUAACUCGUUUUUAUUAUAAUAAAGUAUAGAGUGGAUCGUCGCUCUUGUAUUAGCAUAUCGAAUGCAGAUAUUUGCCGGUGGUGUGGUCAGAUGUUCUUUUAUGAAUAGACACAUUUUCUCUUCUUCUUUUUUGUUGUUGUUGUUGUAUUAUGGUCCUCGCUCCGUCCGUUGUUGUCGUUGUUGUCUUUCGUGAGGUGGACAUCCGCUCGCCGUCUGCUAUACUCAUUUACACUGCACAACAACGGCAACUAUAUAUACAUAUUCAUCCAUAUCCAGUCCACGGCGCAAGGGACUCUUCAAUCGCGUCUAAUAUUUAUAUGAAUACAACAACAACAAAAAUAUACCCGUUGCACUGAUGGUUAAUCUUAUCUUUUCUCAUUCUCCAUCCGUCCGCGUCUCCGGUGUCCAUUGUUGCAUUCUUCGCUCAAUAUUAGAUUGUCAUUUUCUAUUUUUACACUCCACAAUUCCAUCGUGUCAUUAUUUGUCGUUUCCACCACCGAAAAAAGAAGAAGAGUCUACCUUUUUUUCAUAUGCAAAUAUUUGAUUUCUACACAAAAAGUCAAAAAGCCAAAAUGAUAAAGAGAUGAUAGAUAUGCGAGAAUAGGAGACAGCGACAUUGUUGUACUACGUGUGUUGUUUGUAGCUUAUAUACGAAGUGUUAUUUCACGAGGCUAAUAGAGCGACUUAUAUGUAUUUUGGCAAAUAAAAAGGAGAAAACGCUUGAACCCCGGUGACCUGCAACGUGUCGAGUGUCUUGUUCUCGUGAAUUUCUUUCGCAGGUUUUUCUCGCCUCCAUUUUCUGAUGUGUGUUUCUCUCUUGUGUCAUGACUUGAGUGACUCUGUCAUUACCGCAGGAUCACUUACUUUCAACUGCACAGCGAAUGGAGCAGAGUAGAGCCAAGAGAGCUCGGCUAGUUGACUUUUGCUCCGCGUUAUAUAUAAAGUGUCUGUCGUGUUGUUUUGUUCUUAUUUUUCCUCUCCGGUGGGUGGAGUCGAGAAUCGUGUGUGGUGUAGCGCGUACGCGUAUUAUCUAUAGAGAAAGGUAGACACAAACACACAGCAUAAUCAACCGCUAUUUUCCAUUUCAUUUGAGAGAGUUUGUGCUUUAUUAGACUCGACGACGUGGGUGGAUAUGCGAACGGGCGAGCGGACGGGGAUUUUCUUUUUUUGUUUGAACAUUUUUUCGCACGACAUGGCUCCUUUUGUCGCAGGGCGUUACUCGUCCGGGAAUUUUGACUUUGCCUGAUUUUUUUUUUAGGAUACCACGUCGUACCCGGCACCAGCACGGCGUGAGCCACACUGCGCCGAUUUAUAUGAUGUGUGGUGGUGGUGAACCCGUGCACGUAGGCACAUUUAUAUUUUUCCCCUCUCCAUCACGAAGAUUAGAAUAUACAUAAGGGAGAGAGAGAGAGAGGGGCUGAAAGAGAUUGACAGCCACGGUACACAAUUUUAUAAUAAUAACCUAGUAGAAGAAGUACUACUAUAGAAGAAAUGGAGGUGAGUACUGUGGUUAUAAGGGCUCACCCUCUGGAAAAUGUUUCCAAAUUUUCCCCUCCACAUGUCCGCAUAUCCCGUGAGCUAGAUUCCUCCCUGUACUACUGGAAAUAUCGAUGCCGCGGCUCCUUGAGCUCCCAACUUUCCACCUCGGUCGCGUCUAUAAAAGGGGCUGAAAGUUUAUUUUCAACUUUUUUCUUCACGUUUUUCCACACUCGUCAUACCCCCCGCCAAAGAACAAAAUGCACUCGGUGAACUCUACUUAAUGCGAGCGCCUUGUCGUGGAAGUGGGCAUUUAUUGAGGAUGAAGGGGGGAAACAAAAUAAAAAAAAAAAAAAAGAAAAGAUGACAGACACCAUAACAGCGACGUCAACCAUAUUGAGCUCGUCUCCGGUAGCCCCGGUCGAGUUAGACAGACAGAUAGGGAAAUCUAGGUAGAAUGCACCGGUACUACAUGACUGUGUAGGGGUCAUUAGAUGUGUUCUCUCUACUUGGAAUUCUGGCCCCUCUCUCUAUUCAGUUGAACGUGUAUGUACUGUCGUGUGUAUUAGCUGCCGAAGCUAACGGGAGCGCCCACCAACUCGUUUAGAAUUUUUUUUCUUCUUUAUAGAACGCAACUGCCGGAAAUAUAUAUAUAUAUAAGUUGAGAGAUAGAUGCUACAAACUCGGAAUAAGGAGGGAACUGUACCCACCAAACGAGGAAUAAGAAGUAGAGAGACCCCAAAAUGUGGAUGGGAUUAUACAUGGAGAGAGAGAGAGAGAGCUAGGGGCCUUAUAGACAAUGCAGUUGGCAGAGGGGGGUGAAGACCUCUUCAUGUUGGUGAAGUUCACCUGGUCCGGUGCACAGGGAGCGCAGCACUAUCAUUAUCGCAUUGAAGCAGGAUGGAAAUGAAGGAUGACUGCUCUCUGUGUGCUGGAUAAAGAGAAGCAGAGGGGCUCCGACAUCCGACGAAAAUAAAAAAUAAUAAAAUAAAUAAUAACCCUUAGCUAGAGAGAGAGAGAGAGAGAGAAAGAGAGAGAGAGAGGGUUAUUGGAUAUUUAUUUAUUAUUUUUGUUUCGUUAACCCCGAGUUAAAAGGAGGAAAAAUAGUUUUCUUAUUCUCCCGUGAAGGGAGAAGAAAUAUUUGUAAGGAAGAAAAAAAAAGGGGAAAUCUGAUUAUACAAUGUUCGACGCCCGAGUGUGUGCGCAUUCUCCUUGAUGAUUCAUCCAUCUAUUUUAUUAUAUAGUACCGUAUUUAUUUUGUAUUUUCGUUUUGAAUCGUUUCGCUCGGCUGAAUGAUCUUUUGACUCUGACGCAUUUCAGUUGAUUAGAAGCCAAAGGUAUUUCAACUUUUCCAAGUUGUACAAUAAAGUGGAACGAAUGGGAAAAGAGCUGCAGAGAAAAUAUACUAAAUACGGUACGAUUAUUGAAGGGAAGAAAUCAAACACGCAUAGAUUAGAUUCUUCGAAUAUUUCUUCACAACCCCGUCGUCUCUUAUUAUCUCAAUCUCUUUGGAAAAUAAUCAACAAGAAAAAGGAAAGAAACGGGGGCAGAUGAGAUAAUAAUAAUAACAAUAAAAAAAAGGACAAAAAUUCUGAUACUGAAAAUGCGAUGAUGAAAUCAAAUCCGGGGAAAAAAUAUAUAAAAAUGACGUCAAGGCAAUUUUUGUAUUUUAUUUUUCUGUGAAAUCAAAUAAUAAGAAAGAUAAAGAAAAAAGAAAAAUAACACAACAUUUUGGACAGCACAGUCAAGAGCGGAUAUCCGAUGAAUGGCCUUGCUGUCAUCACGCGGCUAUAGCUGCAACAGCCCAUCGUCAAGUGUUUCAGAGUUCUGGAAAGUUGACUUCCUUUUAUUAUGUUGUACUACUCCUCUAUACAUACGUGAGUGUGUGUGUUGCUGUACUCUUUUUCCAUAUAAGUAGGAGCCGAGUCGAGUCUACUCUGCUGUUCUUGUUAUUUUCAUUUCAUCGCCUCCUUGUUUCUUAUUAUAUUUUUAUGAUUAGAUUUCUGCGUUUGUGUCGUUAUUGUUGUUGAUGGAUUCCACGGUCAUCAAUUUGCUGUAGAGAAAAAUACGACGACAACGACGGCCAUGUCGUUGGCCUCAUUGACGUCUGAGACUUUCUGUCCCGUCUUGUUGCCAGACGACAGAAUAGAGAAGAGUUAUGCACGACUACACGUCAUGCCCGUGUUUCAACCGGAGAGAGUCACAAUUUUUACGGGAAUAAUUUCCUCUUUUUUUUUUGUUUUUUUUUGUUUUAUUUUUCUGUUUUCCACGAAAAGAAAAAAAGAAAAGAAAAAGAUACGUUAACAUAACAUUCACACCGAUUUGAAAACAUUGCCUGUAGGCUAUGAAAACGGGACAGCGUUAUAAGACGAGAUCAUUCGUAAGGCUCUGAUUUUUUCACUCCCGAAAUAUUUAUUUAUCUUUUAUUUUUUUUUUGAAAAGCCCCAGCCACGAUUUUCCCGGUAUAGUAUAUACUCCAAUCAAAAAGGCUCUGGUGUUUAUUUAUUCAAUUGCAUUCCGCUGCGGAUAUUAUGCGACUGUGCGCAUCUCUAGAGGUAUGCGCCGAGUCCUCGGAAUUGGAUUUAACGGAUCCUACACGCGUAGAAAAAAGAAAAAAAAAUAUGAACGUGAUGUAAUCAUAAGUUAUUCCCAUCUUCUCUCCCGCCUAUUCAAAUCUCUCCUAUAGUCGGGAAAAUAUGUCGUCCCGUAUCGAACUUAAAUCAGUCGCUCGUUGGUAUAAAUAUACAUACACACAUAGUACGUAUAGUAUAGGUGUCUAGUGUGGUAUAGGUGGUGGUGGUGGUGGGCAGCCCGUUUCCAUCGUCGUAUUUCACGUUGUCUCACUCGUCCCUUUUUCUUUCUUUCUUCUCCUUUUCCCCUUCUGCGGUUUUCAUGAUUUGAGCGUGUCUUUUCAGGCUUUAAUAUACGAGACAUGUAUACACACAUACCCGCCUCUCUCUCUCACUCGCUCCAACCCCCGGGAUAAUGUCUCUCUGUGUGCCGUUGGUCGGAGCUGCGACUCGUUGCGGGAAAAGCGGCCAACCAUUGCAGAUAUCAGGUCUACGCACGCAGGGGCAGCGCCGAGGCCGGUCGAGCAGGCCAGCAGCUUCAACACCGUACGUAUUUUAUCAAGUCCUCCUUCUCCUCCUCCUCCCCAGCAGGACAAAAUAUGCGUGUGUGGGUGAUGUAUACACACACACAUAGGAGCGAUGACGGCGGGGGGUGUAGAGCGGGAAAAGAAAAAAAAGUUUCCGAUGGUUAUGCAACGAGCCAAAAAUGCGUCGAUGGAAAUAUCGGAGAAAAGGAACGAACAAGAAGGGGAGGGUGAUGUAAUAUAGUGGACAUAAAUAGUGUCCACGUCUUGCCAUAGUGCCCCUCUAUUUCGUCCCCCCCCCUCCACGCAUUUUUCCUUCUUAUAUUCGGACGACGACGACCAAAACGCGCCCACAUCGGUUGGCCGUGUACGCUGGCGUGAGCGGCUGGCGCUAGCCCCGUCUUUAUGAUGCUAAUGUCGACUGAUUGUUAUCCCGUCGAAUUAUUGUAUGCCCCACUCGCGGCCGUUAGAGAGAGCCGGACGCGGUCCCUCGUCGUCGUGCCAGCAGCACCCCUCGUUACACAACUGCAAGGGCGAAAAAGGGAGAGGAGAGCCUUGAAUAUUCACGAAGAGAAAUCGAAUCAUUUCGUGUAGAUAUAUCCCACACACGGUAGACGUCACACACAUAUACGUACAUAUAUACGCUCGGCGUCUCCUUUUGAUAUAACAAGCAGAGUUACGUAAAAAAAAACAGCACAAAGAUACUCGUCGGAUAGAUAUAAUAAAGAAUUUAGACGUGAAAGGCGAAGCGUUAUAAUCUGAAGGGAAAUAAGAAGAAGUAUGGAAAAAAAACGUGAUGGACGGUGUUUGCUUUCGACAUCGGUACGGGACCUCUGGUACGGUAGUUGUUGUUGGUGUUAGGCGUCUCUUAUUAUCGUCUGACAACUAGCAAGAGAAAAAAGAAAAAAAAAAGGAAAAAAGGGAAAAUUCCUGUCGUCUUCUUUCCGCUCUUCUCUUUCGUGAAAGCCUCGCAAGUGUAUACGUAUAUACCGGCUGGGUGGUGUGUGUCUAUUUAUAAAUAAUAAACGACGUGAAUAAGGAUUUUUUUUCUUUUUGAGGGGAUGGAAAGAGACAAUUCGAAUCGGUGGAUUGAGGUCACGUUCCUUCUCUUUUCAACUGUCGCAUGUCUUUUGUAUUUUGACGUUGGUCUCAGCCUUUUUUUUUUGUCUGUCUAUCUACAGUACCGUACCUUCUAACAAAAUAAAAUAAAAUCCCCAACACAUUUUCAGAAGGCUCAACCAAAUAAGGCUCCACGGUUUAUUUUUUAUUUUUUUUUUGAAGCUCACUGAAGCUCCUCUAUAUAAGAAACGACUGAUUUCGUUGAAUGAAAAGAAUAAAAGAUUUUUUUUUUCAAGGGGAAAGGGGGAUGUUCGUUCAACGUGAAAACCCCGCCCCCUGAAAUCAAAUCGUCAAGUCUCAAAGUCUCUCGGAAGACGCAAAAACAAUAAAACAAGAAAAUGGAAAGCUGUGUAGAGGCGAAAGAAAGAGAUUUGCUAUACUUUGACGUAAUAAAGUGCACACACACACACACACUGUAUCCGUUUUGUAAAUAAAAAAACAUAUGCUUUGGGGCUCUUUUCAUCCCUUUGGAAUUGUGUCAGCCGUUUUAGUCUCGCUCUCUCGACGUAACUGGAUUCGUUACAUAUUAUCGAUUCAUUCUCUGAUAAUGUCUAGAGCAAAGUGAUCCCCCGUUUCCGCUCCUCUUUUCAUUUGAUUUGAAUUCUCUUGGCCACUCAUCCGAUUAAAGAGAUGAUUGCCAGAAGGGGGGAAGGAGAAGGAACGCUGAUUGGUUUCUCGGCGGGAGUACAUAUAUAUAGUAGAUAUAUUAAUGUCUGUGCUGCCGCUGGGUGGGUGUCGUUGUCCCCCCCCACCACCGUCAUCCUGAUGGUGCGAUCCGACUUCUUCCGUUCGUCAGCGCGGCCGUCCGUUUACUUCAUAUUUAUUUUACUUUCCGUUUUUCUUUGCUGGUCUGGCGUUUGUUGUUGUUGGACGCCCGUCGGGCGUUAGUUCCACCUCCGUGCUGUUGUGUUAUCUCUCGAUGGUCUUGUUAUUGUUCUCUCUGCGAGGGGUUUAAUUGUGAUCCAUUUUUCUUUUCCCCCUCUCUUAUACCGUUCGUUAUGGGCCCCUGUCGUCGUCGUCGUGGUUCCCCGUUUCUCCGGGCUCCGUUUGAUUUCUAUUACAUGGGAGAGAGAGAAGGACGGACGGACGGAAUAUAUACACCCAGCCAAAGAAAUAAAAGGCGACCCAUAUAGUUUCUCUUCGGCUCUGAUGGUGGGCCCCAUAGAGUUGAGGUGAGCAGCAGACAACACCGACUGCGCUCAUGAUAAGGAAGAAUGCAAUGGAGGGGAGAGAGAGAGAGACUGUCCAGUGAAGCUGAUUAGAAGAGCCCAGGAGACGAGCAACUACGGGGCAAUUUAGUGGCUCAUUUCCUUCUGGCCCGUUUUUUUUUUCUUCUUCUUCUUCUUUAUCUCUCUCCACAUUCUCUUAUCCGUUCUCCUUCUUCUUCUUCUUUUUUCUUCUUUUCCUCCGGUUCCUCUGGCAACGGCCGUUGUCAUGGGCACCCAGUCGAUGGUGCCACUAAGGUGAGUUUGUUACUCGAUGGGGAAUUUGCCCGUCCUCUGCUCGGCUGAUAUUGUGCAACACUAUACUGGCCCGCGUCCAUCGCUCCCUCCUCUCGGAAAGAAGCUUCGUGUACGUAAUAAAUAAGACAGACACCAAAAAAGAAUAGCGGUCGCGGACCAGCACAUUUUCGAAUACAAAAAGAAAAUGAACAGAACCACAGCGCCAGUGUUUGGUGGUUUGUGUGUGUGUGUUCCGUCGGGGGCCGGACGUGACGACAAGUUCCAGUUCCCGGAAAUCGUCCAUUAGGAAAGAGAGAAAAAAAAAAGAAAGAAACAAAACUCUGCACAUCCCCAAAGUGUGUCUUCUUGUCUGUCGUUUGUGUGAAUAUGUAUUUGUGUGUGUGUGCACUCUAGACGUAUAUACUAUAUACCUGGGCCGCGCAGACAACUGUACUAUACACAACACAACUCUUGGUGCAUCAUUUCCUUCUCGGUCCUAAUUCCUGCGAUCCUCCCCUUUUCUGCCCCACUUUGUUGUUGUUGCUUUCGUGUGGUAUGCGCUUCUCUCGUCGACGCUGAGUGGUUCACAGUUAUGAAAAUGUUGGCCCACUCAUCUUCUUUUUUUUUCCCUUCCAUUCUGUACAGCCGUCCAGGGGGACAGUGAAUAUGAGCCAAUGAAUGGAAUGAAUGAAUGGAAUUAGACUGUACUCUAUACGGCUAGGGCGCGGUGAGAGAGGGCACAUUUAUGAAUCUUCGACAAUUUCCUCUUGCACAUCUCGUCCGCCCAUUCUCGUCGCUCUCUUUUUUUUUUCUUCUUCUUUUAUUUGACUCGUUUUCACCCCUCGUUCAAUUACUUCAACGGUUCUACCUAUUUGGCUCCUAAAAGCCAAAGAGUUCGGUUCAGAGGCGAACACAGCUGUUGGCUGGGCUUUAACGAGGUGAAAGCCCGUGUAGUCCAACUCAUAUUCUAAAUUUCCUCCUGGUAAAAUAAGAAUAAGGGGAGAGAGUAUGAUUAAGAAAAUCCGUCUGUCUCUAGCUCUGUAUGGCAGUUAUUUUAUUUAACAAGGCAGGGACCCCCGAGUAGUGGGGGGCCUUAUAAGAUAAAACUACUGUGCACUAUUACUUAUUAUUAGAUAUAUACUAUAUAAUAUGCAGUGAAGACACACUAAGAGUUACACCACCACAGAGGGAAAAAAAGAGGGGGGUCGUGCUGUUCCGGAAGCGAGAGUUUUUGGGGUCUUUUGCUAUCCACACGCUCGGCAUCUAUACCUGGUUUUUCUGACAGGAUAUUCGCUGCCAUGAGCAGAUCCAAUUUAGGGAGACAAUCACCCCAAGUUAUUUCUUUUCUUUUCAAAUAUUUUUCUCUUCAUCUUCGCGUGUUGCGUAAUAUUUUUAUUUUUAUUCCGUCUUUUCGGUGCGGUUGCUAUGCAACAACAACUAUUGAACUCGUUACGCAAUUAGAAGAGCUUUUCUUGAUGGAAUUGUGCCUAAUUCUUUUCCAGCCGUUCUUUUCUCAUUCAAUCGGUUAUUCACUCUCACGCCGUUCUUUUUCCCCCGAUUCUUCUCUUGUUGUUGUUGUUGUUGUUGCUGUCUCCCCCACGCAGGAAAUCGACUAUACCCGAAGCUCAUUACCGGAGCGCCAGGCAACCACACACACACAUAUACAUUUGACAGCUAGAAAAAGAAAAGAAAAAUUUUUUUUUUCCCUUUUUCUUUUUUUUCUUUUUUUCUUUUUCUUUUUUUAAAUGUGAGGUCGUAAACAUCACCGAGUCCGCACGCUCUGCCACCACAGCCCCCGUGUGUCUCCUCAUGCCUCCCUUCCAAAAGCCAUAACUGUCCAACGUUUGGCUUGUUGGGGGCUCCAAUACUCGGUACACAAAUUACAAACACACAAACACACAGACACACACACAAGGACGUUAGAUAGUCUCUCCUAUACGCGUACAGUGUAUACAAGUCAAGUAGACAGGCCGGGGCACACCAAACACCAAAUAUCCAGCUAACGAAUAUUUCCGAUUGCCUCCUUCGGGUUUUCUUUUUUUUUUUCCCGUUGUAUACCGCUGGGGACAUGUUUUUAGACGCUCUGGGGGGUCUCUCUCUCGUCUUGCACAAACACACACACAUAUAUAUCCACCAUAUCUUUCGAGGACGAUGGCGUAUAUACCGAGUGAAAAACGAAACAAACAAACAAAUAAAUAAUCAGGAAAGAAGAAGAAAAAAAUAAAAUAAAAAGGGCGAUGGGAAAAAAGAAAGAAAAAGAAGGAAACAAAUUUGUUGUUGUUUAUUUGAUUUGGAACAUGUUGCAUGCGGGGCAUAAAGAUCAGCACGCCGCCCGCCGGUGACUCUCUCUCUGACUGUGUGUGUGUGUGUGUGUGUGUACGAGCUGUCCUAAUCACCGAUGCAGACAGGUCCCGCGAACUAAUCUCUUUGGACGCGGUUUAUCGGUCGUGCUGUGCGCGGCUUUAGCUGGAAAUAAGCGCACCGAGGGACAGAAGAAAAAGCAGAAGAAAAUGUUGCCUAUAUAUCCUAGCACACCAGACUAUAGAACUUCGAUAUGCAUGUGUACAUUAUUCAAAUAGUCACUUGCUGUACAGCGUAGUGGGUUAUUCAUAAGGCCGCGCGCGGUACUACUCUACAUAUGUAUAUUGUAUUUCCACAAUGCAUAGAGAAACUGCUGGUUAUAGAUAGUUUUGACUGACGCGCUCCUUCUCUCUAUAUCCUCUCCAGCUCGGCCGUCGUCCGCAGCGUUUUGAAUUGCGGAUGCAUUCAUUUUUUAACUUGCAUGCAGCAGCUAGCUGUAUAGAAAUGUAUUGAGGCUCUGUUGGCGGGAGGGGCUUUCUCUCUUAGAGUCUCAGCGAGAAGAGAAAGAGGAUCGUUCGUGAGUUUGGCAGACAUUUUUUGAUCAAUCUGUUUCUUUCAUUUUCCCUUUUUGUUUUGGUUUUUUUGUUUUUUUUUCUGCGUUCGGAGAGUUUAAAAGGCUAAACACAAGAAAAUCAGAAAGGAUGGAAAAAGAGAAAAGAACAUGAACCUCAUCUCGGUUGCCUGUCUCGUUUGAUCGUCCCUUUGGAAGUCCAAGUCAGCGUGAUCUAUUAUAGCCGACCUUUUUGCAUACGUAGCGAUAACGAGGAUCGAAGAGCGGAGACCAGCAUUCUCAUCUCUUUUCACCAGAAAAGAAAAGAAGAGGAUACCGGCUUGUCUAUGUAGAUAUACAAGAAAGAAGUCUAGUCGAGAUAAUCACAAUAUCCUCUGGCACACACAUCUAAAAGCGAAAAGAAAACCCGAUAGGCUGAGCAAGAUGAGGCGAGAGCCCGGCAGAUGUGAAAUUGUAGGCUUUUCCCUCAUUUUCGUCGGCAUGAUCUGAUAAAUAAAUAAUCAACCGCUCUCCGCAAACCCACACGCGGCACGCCGCCCAAGCGAAAGAGAAUGAAUAAUCGAGACGGUGUAUAUCCUACCACGGGAUGAAGUAUUCAAAUAGUAACCAAAGCCAACAAGCGAGAAAAAGAAGGAGAAACACAUCGAUUGUUUGAUUGAUGUCGAUGCGCAUAUUAGAAAAGAUGAGCUCUGCUGCAGCAGCGCCCAUUUGAAAACAAACGUAUAUACUAUACAAUAUAGUACUCCGGUCACGACGUCUUGGGAUUUGUUCCUUCAUCAUCGUUGGGCUGUUGUCGUUUAUUCGAUGAAUUUUUUUAAGGUUUUUUUUUUAUCUUUUUUUGAUUCGACCGGUUCGAUCCGCUCAGCGGUUUUGUGUACAUUGUGUAUCAUCGCUCUGCGUGUCUGCGGUAUCGACGCCCCCAUUUAUUUAUUUAUAAUCUUAUAAAAAGGUGGAAAAAAAAAAGAAAACAAGUGGGUGGGGGAAGUUCCGAAGGGAGGGAGAAACAAAAAAGGGAAAAACUUUUUUGGGUAGUGGUGGUGGUGGUGUCCAAGAGAACUCACGAAAAACAAAACACAACAAAAUGAAAAAUAAGAGUAAUGCAUCGAUCAACCCCCCUCCAAAAAAGACUCGGGCCGGGUGUCUUUAUCACGCUAUUGUUUACUACAGACACUCUCAGGAGUUGCUCCGCACUCUUGUAACAACACCGACCAGCCGGACCAGGUGAAAAACGGAGGAGAAACAAUUUUUGGGGAAGAAAAUAGAAAAUACCAAAAAUAAAAGAAAAUGAAAACCGUGGCGUGAAAAAACAAAGCGCUGCUGGGCUUUCAUGGGGUUUCCUCCGAUUUUUUGUGUUUGCAAAGUGGAUAUAGAAAGAAAAAAAAGCUGCGUAAAAUGACACGUCCGUCAUUCGCUGGCGGACAAACAAACGAAGUUAAAAAAGCAAAAAACAAUUGAAAAAGGAUCGAACGAACUUUUGAAAAGUGCUGGAAAAUCGUCUGGGCCCCCCUUGUGCGGCCGCUUAUAUCGCGUGAGUUGCGUCAAGAGGGGCUUUCUUUUUUUCCUUAUUUUUUCAAACGACGAAAAUGGAAGGUGACAAGGAAGCGUGACUCAUCCUCGGUGUAGUAGUGUAUAUACCCAGCACGUAAAGGCCGACGUUGUAUACAAUAGAGGAUCGCUCAGCGCGGCUCAGAGCCAGAGCUAUAUAGCAACUAGCAGCGUCUGUAUGGCGUACGGGUCGCUGAGCUUCUCUCCUGUGAGCUAUUUGGACUGUGCAGCACAAGCUGGGGGCACAGCAUACACACGGUGACAUUCUCUCUAGAUAUAGAUACGUCUAGUUACAUGGGGGGCUUAGCGUUAGCGACCCAUGUCAUUGGAUGACGGUUAUAAUAACUUUUUUUCCGUUUCUAUUUUUUUUUUCAAGAGAAAGAGAGAGAAAGAGUAUCAGUUCAACGGAGUAGACACAAUGGGCAUGGAGUACGUACGGUACGUACCACUCUUAGUAUAUAGGUACAGGUACAACACAGCGCAGGCCGGCCGGCCCUGUUGGCCGGGCUAUUAGGAAUAAAUCCGUCGAGGCGGAUCACGACAACCCGAAUGAUAAUAUAUAUAUGAAAACACACCGGCCCCGGCCGGCAGCUGUGUUGACUAAAUAUUUCAAUAAUAAUAUUUGACUUCUAUUCAACUGUAGAAAAACUGUUUAGAUGAUGACAUGCAAAGAAGAGAUGAAGGUUUUUUUUUCCCAUUUUAUUUUCCCUUCUUAUAUCCAGCAUGUGAUGAUUAUAUGAUUGUAUAGUGUGUGUGUGUGUGUGUGUACGUUUGAAAGAUGGAAAAAGAAGAGAAUAGAUACGGGAUAAAGUGAACGCGGUCGUGACGACCGGGACGAUCUGGUCUCCAUCUGCCAUGACAUUUUCACGUUUCAAUUUUUUUCUUCUUCUUCUUCUGUCUCCUUUGGGCUAUCAGCUGCUGUUGCAACAGUGUGCCGUGUGUCAGCGCGUCUCUCUCUCUCUCUCUGUAUGUGUGUGUGUGUAUCUAAUGACAGGUCAAUUACGUCGACUCAAGAAGAGUAUAUACAAAAAAAUAGAAAAAGAGAGAAGAAGAAGAAGAAGAAGAAAAACAAGUUGAAGCAGCGCAUCUCUCACGAAGCCCGAAAUCUCGAGAGGAGAGCCAAGGAUAUCCAAGAGGAUGAUGAUAAAAGAGUCUAGAAAAAAAGGGGUAUCUAUAUAGUGGGGGGGAGAGAAGGAGGAGGAGAAUAACGCGUGAGUGCGGGCACGUUGAAAGCCCUGAUGCAACAAGAAUCUAAUCCUCAAAAGAAGAAGACGAAGGCAAAGAACGACGCGCUCUAUCUAACGCGUCUCUCGGUCCUCUUGUCUCUCUUUAUCUCAAUUGCUCCCGAGUAUUUUUUUUUCCUUUUGCGCCUUGGAACAGAUUCCAACUGUGCUGCUGUGUAGAGAGAGACGAAGAAGCGGGAGCGGCUAUACUAUAUAGACUAUGUGCACGCAGAAGCAGCAGCAGCAGCACAUAUUCUUGUGUCUAUCUCUGCCGGGAAAUAGCCGCAGAGCGGCGAGCGACCCAACGCCAAAAACCUCGUUUUUUCUUCUUCUCCUUCUUCUUUCGCUCAUAAUCUUACAUACAAUUCUCGUUUGAUUUAUCUCUGAUGGCUUUUCGGGUAUAACCCCCCCGAGCUCGCACUUUUUCCGUAGUAUCUAACACACUGGAGAUAUACAGGCUGGAAGCGUCAUUUCUUUUUUUUUUCCUUUGCGGGGGUAACGCGCGUAUAAAAAUAUUAAUACGUGAACAAUAAACGCCAGCUCCCGGUGGAUGGAGCUCCGUGUUGCGUCCACCGAUCGACCGAGAGUUUAUUAUUGACUAUCAUAUUGAAAGACUGUGGAGAGAGAGAAAGAGAGAGAAACAACGACGGAAUAACAUUGCCAGCUGUUUUGAAAAGGGCAUCUGCCAAUCUUGCGGCACGAUAGCGCAAGAGCCAACAUAGAGAAAAUAUGAUUCAACUGUUGGUGUAUAUUAUAUAGCCUUCUACUUGCUGUUCUUGCCCUCGCCGGAAUAAGCUUGUAUACAUUGUUCAACCAAAUCUUGAUUCUCCUCUCUGAAAAAUGAGGAGAAAUAACAAUUAUAUUCAUGAUGUAUAUUACUAACAAAUAGAAUAUCCGUGAAGAAAGAGAAAAUAAGAGAGAGAAAAAAGCGUCAUGUUUGAUGGAGGAGAGCUAUUAUGUACGUAUAGUUUUCUCCCUUUUCAUCUUUUUCCCCCCUCCUUGCUUCAAUAUCUUUACGGUUGAUGAAAUAGAGAGGCAAAGGUUUGUCCGCUUCUUUUCUUCUGAUCCUUUAUAGCAUAAGUAUAUUAUACAAUUUCUUCUUCUUCUUCUUCUUGCUUCUUCUCUUUUAUAGUCUGGGACUUGUCAGCUAUAUCUCGCAUCGGCAAGAAUUGGUGGCCACAUAAAGAGAUCGAAGAUGGGACUAGCAGCGUGAUUCUUUCCCUUGGCAAAAGUAUCUCUCUCUCUCUCUCUUUCUCGUCGUAGAGAUACACACUCGACUUACAUAAGAGAAGCUAUAGGACGACAACAUCCAUAUACCAUAUUAUAAAUAUAUAUACGGGGAGAUAUAGAAGACAGGGCCGAGGCAGUGCAAGAGAGAGAGAGAGAGAUACAUCUAUCUGGAUAUAUACUGAAGAGGCUCUCUCUCUCCUGCCCAGUAUAUAUGAACGUCCAACUCUUGUGCCUAUAUACAGAUAGAUAUAAAUAUCUACGAGUAUCUAGAGUAUAUAUACGUCUAUGUGUGUGUGUGUGUGUGUGUGUGUGUCUAGUCCCCAUCUAUAUUGUAUAGACGAGAACAAAUGGACGAUUGAAAUAAAGCGAACGGGAAUCAAAAGAAAGAUGCGAUACACACACACACACAACAGGAAGAAGGAGGAGGAGAAGAAGAAGAUGAAGAGGGAGGCCUUGUAUAUAAUAUCUGGUUUUAUGAGCGACCGCCUUUCAUGGCGACAGCCAAGAGAGGAACACAGACGAGCAGACUUGCGAAAGUUACGCACGCACAACAGUUACUCGAUACCCCCCGAUGGCAUAUACAGUUGCAAAGGGGCUUACAUGUACGUUUUUUUUGUUUCUUUUCUUUUUCUUUUUUCCCUUCUGGCCUAUGGGCCUCUCCCCAUAUCUCCUUCAUCUCAUCCGAAUGGACUGGCUGCCGCUUGCCUAUACAUGGGGAACUCGUGACUGGCCUCCGACAUCCAGGUCUAAAUAAGUUACAGGAAAAAUACAGGGCCGAAGAAAAAUCAGGACAGCAGCAAAAGAAAAAGAAACUAUAGACACACACACACACACACAGAGAGAUAGAUAGUAAAUACAUAUAAGGACUGGGAUUUUUUUUCAAGGGGGCCCAAGCUUUUGCUUUCAUCCAGACACGUGUUGUUACAUAUGAAGGGGGAUUGCGCAGCGUGCCCAGCAGCGGAUAGACACAACUAGUCUUUUUUUUCCACAGUGAGAGAGAGAGAGAUUGAAGGGAGGAGUUGCACGACGAGAUGAGCGCGGUCUGUAAAAAAGGUUCUAUGAAAAGGGAGGAAACGGUCCAACCGAUGAUGAUCUCGUCCCGUGUAUAUAAAUACAUUUGAAAAACGACAGAGAGAGGGGAGAUGGAAAAUAAAAAUAAAAAGAAUCUCAGUCAUGCUGUCGCUUCUGUUCCAGGGGUUUUCCAGUCGUAUGCCAGUGCUGUGUAUAUACGCUUCGGAAGCACCUCACAUGUGAACCAUAGCCGCGCCCUAUUUCCCCCCACCCCCCCCCCCCUCUUAUUCCAUCGGCAUAGAGAUAAAACGGCGUCAGCACACGGAGGAUCAAAGGCGGCCCAUAACGAGGGAAUACAAACAGAGGAAACUUAACCACCACCACCACCACUAUACCCACCGAGUCCUCCACCGCACCGCCGAUGCCAUCAUUGCCCUGACGUCGUUAUAUCCGUCCGCCCCCUUCUCUCUUUUCCCCAUCUGACAAUGUCCGAACCACCGCCGCGACGACGACGACUUAUUGUCCCAUCCGAUUCUCAAUUCUCAAUCCCGGCUAUUAUACCUUGGAUAGAUACGGCACAACAGACGACGUAUUUUUCUGUAGAUUGGGCAGUUGCGAUGGGGGGAUGACUGGAAAUAUAUGGACGACACAGAGCCGCCACCGCCGCCGCUGCGGCUGGGGGGAUUUUGUUGUUCAUUGAUUGAGCCACCCUCUCUCCGGCCUUUCGUUCAUCUCUUCCCUUUAGCCUCGUCAUCAAGUAUAUUGCGAUGGUCGAGGCAGCAGCAGCAGCCGCAGUAGCAGCUGACCCUUCUCUGCUGCCCUCAAUAAAAACCAACCACCACCACGUAGUAUAUACCAUCCCAUAUAGCCUUUAACGUCCGCAUACACGUGCGGACGAGCCGAGCCGAGAGAGAUUAGACAUGAUGUGCCAUUGCCGAAAGGCCAUAGCAUAUAUAGAAUCUCUCUCAUUCUUUCUCUCUCUCUUUUCCUCUUUUUUUGUGUGUGUCGGUGAGGUACAAAGCGAGCAGUGGAUCAUUUUCGGAGGGAUGUUUCGUUUCGCAUUUCGUCUCGGCUAUCGCCCGCGCCGCUGACCGUUCACCCAAUAAUGUGUGACACUGUGUGAAUAUAACGUCGAAUAACUAAAUCAAUCUAAUAUCAUAUCCUAUAUAUGUAUACAAACACUUUUUCGAUGAAAGCCGGACAAUCUGAUUGAUUGGUCAAUUGAUGAAUGGCGCCCCGCGGUAGUGAGUGCUCCUUUCGCACGCGGAGAUGAACGAAAAUGAUAUGAGCAACUUCCUUUUUCCUCUCUUCUCUGCUAUUAUUAUAGCCGGUCAGCUGCUCUUUCCUUUUCAUUCUUUGCUGCAGUUGACGGAAGUUGUGUGCUGUAUGCCAAUAUGUGUUGACGGACCAUAAUCUCCCGUCCCCCCCCCCCUCUCUCUGUGUCCGUUCCGUUCCGUCCCUCCGUUGGCCCUGUUUUGGCGACUCAUUCCGGCCCGAGACCUUAUUUCCGCUCGAUUAUUACACGACGAUCAAAUCGAUUUGGAGCGACACGCUCUUCUUCUUCUUCUUUUUUUCCAUCGGAUUUUUCUCGAUCGAUCCCUCAUCAAGGAUUAAAUGUGUAAAAACACGUUGCGGCAGCAUAGGACGGAAAAGAAGACUCAGGCAUUGCAAAUAGACAUGUGAAAAUUUAAGAGAGAGAGAGAAAGAAAAACAAAUAAAAAUAUAUCUCUGAUGAGUUGAUCAAUAACUAAAGUCCUUCAGUGACGCAAAUCCGACUCUGAUCUACAUUUUUUCUUCUUCUGUGAGAGAGUUGACAGGGUUCGAAUUUUUUCCAUUCUGGACCGUGGAAGGCUUUCAUCUUAUUCAAUUGCACUUGUCGGAAAAAGUUAUAACAGCGCAUUUGUGAUGACUCGUCAAAGGUGACACGAACUUUUCACUAAAUAACACCGCCGGCGCAUCGCCGUAUACACCCGCAUAUAUUGCAUGGCACGCACGGAGUGCUGCACUUGAACUUGAAAGGACAGUCCGAACAAGAGCGACGGAUAGUUCUUCCCUGUUUUUUCCUUUAUUCCUUUUUUUUCUCCGUCCCCUUUUCCUGUUCUGCAGGAAUAAAUAAACCCAACGACGUGUGUAGUAUAUUAGGAGGAUCUCGUCGGUGUUGAAUGGAUGAAGAGUGGUGGGGUAUAGAGUAGGUGAUGAGGAAUAAUUCUAGCUCGACAUUCAUCGAAAGACAAUUGGAUUACCUAUCAAACGAAAUAAAUCGGUUGGAUGUAUGCAGCAGGGGACGGGGUCCAGCUUUGGCUGUCUCGUUUCUUUUCUUUUUUCUAAUACAAUAUUUGACACAUUUUUUUUUUUGCGGUGGCAUUCUCAUGUCUAAUCAAAAGCCAUCAGCCAUCGAAUUUUAAAACCCCUUUUGGCUGCGCCGCGUAGCACAUACAUAUAGUAUGGCCGAAGGUUGACCACCCAGCAAUCUUCUAGUGCGGCAUGUUCCUCGUAAUCUUAUCUCAUUUUGAAAUUAUUGCGAGCUUGGGAAAUCCCGCGCGUGCAACCCCAAUGACUUGUUUCACGGCUGGUCGCCAGGUGGGCAGCACGGUUGUUGUUUUCACCGUGAGUUAUUGCGAAUCUAGUUGUGCUGCAUAUAGAAUAGACUGGUGACGAUUUGCUCGGCGCAUAUUGAUUGUAUUGCACGAAAGGCAUUUUGGGUCGAUUCCUCAAGAGCAAUCCUAUCAGGUGGCAGGCUCAGUCACGCCAUUUACAAUGGUAUGCUGCACACGCGAUUCAUGAUCGAAAUUGGAUUAUUAUAGAAAAAUGAAACAGUAGAUGCGGGAAUUGCCCCCAAACGAAAGGGCAUAUUACUCUAUAUAUGCGCUCGAUAUGGCGGAAGCCAAUAGUCGUACGUAAGACACGUUCAACGACGUUGACUGCCGAUAUAGGAUCAACAACCAGAAAAGGGAAAUGGUUUCACCACCUGUGUAAUGGACUGGAUUCAGUCGCAUUCUAUAAGCUAAUAAGUCUAUCUAUCAGCUCGCAUAUAUCCACCUCUUUUCUUUUAUUCGGUAAAUACCUAAAUGUCAUUCUCGGCAGCUGUUUCCUGUACAGCAUUAUCCAUAUUGCGUUAUGCCUAUGUGUAUUAUAGCUCUAACCUUUGAAAAACUGAAUUCGAAUAAUCUUUAUUAUUCCAUCCUACAUAGUCCUAUACACACAGCGACGACAUAUAGUCUGGGUGUGUUAAUUGAAUUUGUCCAUACAUGGCCCCCCGCCCCCCCCCCCCCUCACUUUCUCCUUCUUCCUAUAUUGGGAGAGAGGAAGACAAUCGAGUUGCGCAUUAUUAUUUAUCUUUUGACGCUCUGAUGGCCGCGCUACUGCUGAUGGUGACAAGCCGGGGCUGUUUUAUAUAUACGAAGGGGGGAAAAGGAAACACUCGAACAGCAGCAACAGAGGCUUCAAAAUAUCUCAAAACAACCCCUCUAGUCUCUCUCGUCUCCUUUUUCAUCUGCUCCCCGUCGUACCUCCUUCCUUCCUUCUGGCUUCGUUAUGUUAUUAUAUUUGUUAGCUUGUGUGUGUCGACACUGUGUGUCUGUGUAUAUAUAUAUAUACGAAGACAGAGAGAGGAAAGAGGAGAAAGAAUAAAAGUUGUAGUAGUAGGUCGUGUAUGGGCUACCAUCACGAGACCGAGUGACUUGAGAGUUCACCGCCGGCCCUUGAGGGUUGUUAACAUAGUUUUCCCUCGGAAUAUUUUCCCCUUGUUUUUUUUAUGUUAUCUUUUUUCUUCUUUCUGUUAGCAGCCAAAUGUUAAAGGAGCAGAGAGACAACACAAGAAGAAAACCUUCACUUUGAAAGGGAAGAAGAAGAAGAGAAAAAAAAGAAGGCCAACAAUAACACAGAGUGCAGACACAAAAAAACAGAGAGAGAGGAACCCCCGAAUUCCCCCCUCAUCCAUUGUUGAGUUUUGUUAAAUGCAACACGAAGAAGAAGAAGAAGAGAAAAAAAAAUUGUGUUCUAGUCUAGUAAUUCCACGUGGAUGACUCCGUCCGUUCGUGGCCGUGAGCCGACACACACACAGCACUCACAUAAGAGGUCAUCUUCCUUGGCCGGUUUUUUUUUCUUUUUCUCCUCUCUGUUAGAUCCUAUUGCUUUUUUUGGGGGGGGGGGGGGGGGAGACGGGCAGGAAGAGGCUCUUUGCUGUUACCUAGGGCUGGCUUCCUACGAUUAUUCGGUUGGGUGGACUAUUUUAUUUUCGCGAAUUUUUUUUUCUCCGUUCAAGCGCGUUAUUGUGUGUGUGAUCCAACAACUGGACAUCCAUUUGCGAAAUCAGCUUAUAAAAAUGACCAUUCUAAAAGACCUUUAUCUAGCUAGUACUAUAAAUAUAUAUAUACCGAUAUAAGCUGUUGCGAUAUCAUUCACCUCUUCUGAAGAAAGCUUUGAUCCACCUGGAAAGGUGGUCUUACACCUAUAGGAUGACAGGUCUUCAAAAGAGUCUAAGUCGUCCAGCGUUUGUGCUGCAAUGUGCAUAAAGUCCUUCGGUCCAUUGACGCGCCUUAUGCAUAAGAAAUGAGGUAUACCAUAGUAAUGUAUGCAAGUCCACUUCAUUUGUUUCCGUCCCUCUGGUGCUGCAUAUUGUGUGUGCGCUGUAUUCUCGACUUGUCAUAAGCUAUAAGACACGUUUCCUUUAUUUCUGUCUCCACCCGCUGCAUUACAGCUCGUGUGUUUCAAGUCUUUCAUGUCCUCUGUGUUUUUUUGCGCAGUUUUAUGUGACGGGCUUCUUCUUCUGUCGGAAUGUUUCAUCGUAAGCUUUCCCUGCUGCGACGGAAGGGGCCGCCAAAUGGAGGAUAUUAGAGAGAACAGAGGAAAGGACGCGGAGGAUCAUAGAAAGCUUUUGAUCCGUUCAGAUUGAUGCGCAUUUCAAAUGGUGCAGGGCUCUCUCUGUCUCUCUCUCCACUCUGCUUGUUCUUGUGUCUCUCAGACUGUCCGUCUGUCCGUCCGUCCGUCCGUCGUCGUCCCCCUCUCGGUGGAAAUGCGUCGUCGUUCUUCCACUCAUCUCGUUCCUCCUUUUUCCCUAGACUGAUGCCGCUACUUCAAUUAGUACGUGUGUAUACCCCAACAUUCCUUUUCUUUCCCUUAGCAAUUUGUUUCCUUCUUCUCCUUCUAUUUUGGGGUAAUUCGUUUCAAUCGUUUCAUCUCGUUGAAGACUUUUUUUUCUCUCUCUCGUCGGUCGAAAGGAAACGAACUGCCCGACAAAGAGUCGAGUGAAGAAAAAAAAAGUGGAAAUAAUAUGGCUAGUUUCCUCUUGUGUUUCUUGAAAGACGGCCAACUGGACACGACAGCCCCCUCCCCCAUCCCAUUUCGAUGACUUUUUACGAGCAGCCAAAAGAAGAAGAAAAAGCUGCAAAUUACGAGCGAAAUAUGCGCACCAGCGGAAGGAGCGAUUUUAGGAAGGAGAGGAUCGGCCCAGCCGGCCAAAAAUAAGUCAAUACAAUAUCGGUUUAUAUGCUCUCAUUUCUGCUGUGACAUCAGCCGCCCUGUGAAUAAGUGGGAGAAAAUCUGGAGAAAAUAUUUAUCGUAUAAUAUUCGGUUAGUCGUUCCAAAAAGGGAACAAAUGUUGAGCACUAUAGACCUACGGUACACAAGAUUCCCGACAGAUUUCUUCCUAAAAAAAAAAAAAAAAAAAAAAAACGAAUCGAGAGAAGAAAGAAAGAAGAAAGAGAGAGAGAAAAAUGAGGGCAGAAGGAAGAAGAAGAAGAAGAAGAAAUUAAUGACAUGUCAAAGUCAGGCCAGUGCGGUCGUUCCCCGGAAUUAUCUCGAGCUGAUUUGGCUCGUGUUGUGUGUGCUGGGGAGAGCACAAUAUAAAUGAGCUAUCAAAGUACAUCGAAGGGUCCCCCCCCUCUUUUGUCGAGUCGAACUUGGGAUAAAUGAGCACCGACGUCGACGUCCGUCCUUAUCGAUCCCUGCGCCGCUGUGCCGCAACUAUUUUCUCGUGUCCUUUUGCGUUUUUUUCUUCUUCUUCUUUCUUUCUUCUCUCGACAAUACAAUGCGCAGCAAACAAGGAAUCCCCGUGCCUAUACCAGCUGCAUGCGUCCAUAGCUAAUACAAUAUAUAUAUCAUGUGCGGUGUGUAUAUAAUACACAUUGCUGCUGCUGCUGCUGCUUCAUCUGUAAAACAAUCUUUGAGAGUCGACAUGUCGAUGCUUCACGACCUUUCCCAUCUUUGCCUUCUUGGGCUUUUUCCAUCUUAAGACAUCAAUGAAGAGCGCUGGCGGGACAAGACAGACUGACUCUGUGCUGCAAUCGAAGUGGAGGGCAAGAGUGCGAUCCGUGUAAGAUUUAUGAGAUCCGUUCGGCUGUCCAAAAAGAAGAACGAUCGAAGGAAGCAACCCAAAGAAGAAGAAAAAGAAGAAGAAUAUGAAAGCUAAUAACUUGAAAUACAUGUUGUACGAAGGAUCCAGGAGCGCCGCCGAUGCACUAUAUAGAAGUAUAUACAUACAGGAUGGAAAGUUAUGGUGGGGAGCACACAAAUUCGUGCAUUGCUCUCUUGUAUAUCAAUACGAGAUGAGGCAGAGCAAAGAUGACGAGAGAAAAGAUCAACAUUUAUACGAAUGUAAGAGAGAGAAAGAGAAAGAGAAAAAGGAAAUAAGGAAGGACCCGUCACUAUAGUCCAAAAGUCGCCGCCUUCUUUCAGUUAUUAAUGACGUGGAGAACAAGAGACGCGGAAAGGAAGAAGGAACAAAGUUUUUGACCCAGCAGCAGCAGGAGCAGCAGCUAUAUAGGCAGAGGAUAGGAUGUACACUGCAGAGGCUUGAUCAUAUUCACAAAACUGAUUGCUGCCAGAACUAUAUAUUCUCGGCUGUGCCGCCGCCUCUCUCAGCCUAUAUAGAUCUCUUUUGAGUUUCUUCUUUCAUGGCGUUUCCGUUGGCGGAGAAAUGAGAAACGCCAAGGAAGAAAAUGAGUCGUGAAAAAAGAAAAAAGAAAAAAAAAAAAGAAAAAGAACAAGAACAAGAAAAGACGGGCAGAUAGAAAUGUGUGUCUUGUCGUUUCUCCCGUUGCGAAUGUGUGUCUGACGGUGUGUUACAUUUGAUAUCCUUUUGCUCGUUUGCCUUUGCCAUCCUCGUAAUGUACGCGACGGCGCUCCUAGACGAGUUAUUAUUACACUCCAUAUGUAUACCGCCUGCAUGUAUCAUCUCUCGGAGAGCCGGGCCAGGCCGUUCUGUCAGCAUCAAGUCUCUCUACUUCUUCUUCUUCUUCUUCAUAUUCUUCAUAUUCUUUACGCCGUCAUCUCCAUCAUCCAGUUCUGCGCUCUCGCGCACAUCAACCAGCAGGCGCAUGCAAAAGUGCGCUAGCACAGAACUGUAUAUAUGUAUUCGCAUUUAUACUCUACACUACCAUAUACUAGAACUACUACUGUUGUUGUUUAUUAUAUUUGCGCUGUCACGAGGGCGUAACACAUUGUACGUGGCGUCGACUGUCGCUCCCCCCGGUUCCGCACUGUCUCCCUCUGCUCCGCGGGUAUCAUAAUAAUAAUAACGCAAGUAAAUCGAAAUCAAAUAAUAAAGAAAAGAAAAGAAGCGAGGGCGCGCGCGAGCCAAUGCGAUACACGUAUACAUAUAUACGGGCCACACAAACUGUGCAGAAACGAGAAAGAAUGUCUGAAGAAGAAGAGUGUAUCGCUAGAAAAAAAAAGAGAAGGAACUUGGCUGGCUGGCAGUUGAGGAGAGAAAAGAGGGGAUUUGUCUUAGUGCGGUGCUGUUGUGUGCGCUACACUAUAGACGCCAGAGAGCUGCCUGCACUUUGCGAAAUGUGCUUUGCAUCCCAGAUGAAGGGUUUUCUUUUUCUUAUUUUUUUUUUGUUCUUUAUAUAUUCUUUCCCUCUUUUACUUGGGCCUAUGUAUAAAUGAAGGCAGCCGAGGAAAAGAAAGAGAAGAAAAGAAGCCAAAGCCAAAAGAAAUGAAUGUGUAUGAGAGAGAGAGAGAGAAAGAAGAAACUGCGCACAGCCCAGAAAAAAAGGAUAAGGAAACGGACAGAUAUAUGGGUUCUCUUCCAUCUAUACACAUUGUGUGAGUGUUCCGGCCUGGAUAUUGCUCAUACUAAUGUUGAGCUUAACAUACAUUGAGAGCUUAUUGUGUUGGUGAGACUAUAGCAAGGACGGAGAGGAAAAGGAAAAAAAGAAGAAGAACGGCCCCGAUAAGAGAAGAAAUCGGGGACCGUGUGUAUGUAUACGUCUUGCGCGCAAUCGUCGCUCGUUUAAUGUUUUGCCUCUUUUCUCUGAUGCUCUCACUUUUCUUCUUUUUUGUGUGUGUUUUGAUUUUUUUCUCUCUCUCGGGUGGAGCGACGCCAACGACGACGUAAACGAGAGCAAGAGGAGAAGGAUUGCCCUUUCGGCCAUUAAGAAAAUCCCCUAGGCCGUCAAUGCCGCCGCUGCUGCCGCGCGUCGUUCACCGCCUGCCUCUGCUGCGAAACGAGAUGAAUUCGCCCAGCUAUACACAGCGCCAGCAGUGCCCGGGAAUUCCACGACUGUGUCCAACGACCGCACACAUGUAUAUACCCCUCCCGCCCAACACAUAUAUUACAGCCAGGCGUCUAUAUUCGUCUUUUGAUGUUUUGUUUCUUUUUUUUGGGGAGCUCUAUUUUCUUUUCUACAUACAAAAUGUAACUACAAGUCGUCGACGCUUUUGUAUUUUUUGACGCAGUGAAAUAACAUCAAAGAUGUUUCAUUUGAUAUUCAAUAAAAAAUGUUUACAUGUUUGUUUUCUAUAUAUGCCCCCACGUCUAUUUCAUGUCAACUUCCAUAUACCAUCUCCGCCUCCGCUUUCCUCCUCGCUAUUUUGUAUGCUUUAUUCCCUUCUAUCGCAUAUUACACAUGUUAUACAAUCAAA
rnacentral:misc_RNA from 1 species